CUUCAUUGACGAUGGUAAAUCCUCCAUCUACGACCAAAUUAUGCCCACUCACACACUUGGACUCAUCACUCCCCAAAUAAAGAGCAGCUUCAGCUACAUCCUCAGGCUUAAGAACAGCCCCACUGAGAUUUGAAUAAAUGGCACUCAAACCAUCAUCGUCAAGCUUGUAAAAAUCCUUUGCCAAUGGAGUUGCGACCACAUAAGGUGACACACAAUUCACCCUAAUGCCAAAUCGUCAAAGCUCCACGGCAGCAUUCUUCAUCAGCCCCACAACGCCGUGCUUCGAACUCGUGUAUGCAUGCGAUGCAACGCCACCAUUGACUCCGCAAACGCUUGCAGUUGAAAUUAUGCUGCCGCGUCCGGCGGGUUUCAUCACCCUCGCAGCAUGUUUCGUCCCCAAAAAUACGCCCACGAGGUUAACGGAAAGUACGCGCUCAAAUUCAGCCUGAUCAUUAUCCAGAAUGUUAUGUUUGGCUUCAUCCACAAUGCCGGCGUUAUUGAACAUAAUGUCUAGCUUUCCGUACUGAGAGACGGCCGUGUUAACGGCGUUUUCGAUUUCUUUUUCUUUGGUUACAUCACAAUGGACAUAGGAGCAGCCGUUGGCUGAUGAUGAUGAAGAGCCUAUGUCCUUGCAUACAGACUCGCCUAAGUCAUCUUUAAUAUCUGCAAUGAGUACUUUAGCUCCAUGUCUGGAGAAGAGCCUUGCAGUGCAUUCCCCAAAGCCGCUUGCUCCGCCGGUGAUAAGUGCCACUUUGCCUAGAAGCCUAUGCAACAUCGAAUUACCAUGCCACAAUUGUAACAUCUAAUCAAUCUAGCUAGUUGACAGUUUAGACUGGGAAGUCGGAACUAUAACUUAAUUAAAGCUUAAGCUUAUUUGAAAAAAAGCCAGGCAAAUAAUAUUUGGAAUUGAUAAGAGUUUUGAGCAAAUUAAACUAACCUUCUUGCUGCAGCUGAUACAAUUGAAGCACUGCCCAUUGUUAUAGCACGUACGGGAACCAAAAAUGAAGAUCAAUUAUAAAGUCUUGCGGAUCCAGAAGGAUGUUAUUACCCAGCAAGUUUGAGCUUCACUUUCUGAAAAUUGAAUUUGUUAAGAUUUCAGUCCCCACCGAACCAGUACAGCAUCUAUCUUGUAUCCACACCACUCCUUAUGGAUCACGUGUCACUUUUUCUGUCAAGUAAUCUGUCUAUUCAAUGCAAAACGUUGUACGUACUAGAAAGGAACAUGCGUUAUCGCUUCCUUUUUAUUAAAUUCUCGAAUUCUCGCCACUCGUCGUCUAUCGACAUUAUCAUGAUUUGUUGAAACGCACACCUUUAGAUUAUUAAUAUUUCCUUGGUUAAAACUAGAGGUAAAUGACGGCGUGGGUUUGCAUUAAUGGAACGCAUUAAAUUUUUUACCACAAAAAUUUUUGCUUGGAUUAUUUUACUUGUUUUAUAUCUUUUAAAACAUUUUGUUCCUCAAAUUAUAGUGUAAGAUUUUAUCGUUUCAAAUAUUUAGCACCAGUUAUGUAUAAUUAUUAAAGAAAAGAAUUAACAUUCAGACAUCAAUUCAACCUUACGAUAAUAAUUUUAAUAUAUUCCUUUUCACAUCAUAUUAUGGAGAUACUUAAAACUUAUUUUAAGAUGAUGAAAAUUAUAAAAUAAAAUACACUAUAUUAAAAUAUAUGUUUUUCUAUCUUUUAUUUUAUUCUUUAUUUUGAAUCAAGUAAACGGAAAAGAACACCAACACCCCCAAGUUUUAAAAAAGAGACACCAAAACUUCUUUUUACCUAUAAUACUCUUUGACUAUAGUAAUUAAAAAAUUAACUUUAAAGGUUUUUAGUUAACACAAAUUUAAUAUAAAUAAUAUAAUCUAUCUAGUAGACUAAUAACAUUAAAUUAUUUUUGACAUUUAAAAUAAUAUUGAAAUUUUAAAUUAUUAUCUUUAAAGAUUUUAAAUAAAUCUUUGGGUUAAAUAAAUUUUACAAUAAAGAAAUCUCCCUAUUAAUAAUAUUAAAAUUAACUUUUACAUAAUAUUCAAAAUAAUUUUAAUUUUAAUUAAUUAAUUUUAAUAUUAUGUUUCUAUCUAUUAUUAAAAAUUACUUUAAUAUGAUAAAAUAGGUCUAAUAGAUUGAAAAUAUAAAAAUAUUUUUGAAUAUUAUUUUUUUUAAAUGUAUAUAUUAUUACAUUUAUUUUAAUGCCAUAUUUUCAUUUGUUAUAAAAAAUUUUGGGGUUAUUUUUUGUAUGGAUAGCAAUUUAAGAUCUUGGGCCGAGCUUUUUCAAACCUAGACCCAAGUUAUUGACAGUAGGUCCAAGCCCUCCAAAAGCCUAUCCAUACUUAGAUGGGUCGGAAUACUUAAAUUAAAGAUUAUUAAUUGAUUAUACAGUAUAUAAUAGACUAAUAAUUAAAUACAAAAAAUAUAAUAUAUAAUAUAUAUAUUUUAAAAUAUAAAGUUCAAAAUAUAUAAAAUAAAAAAUUUUAUUUAUAAAAUAUAAAGCUCAGGCUUUUCCCAUGAGCCUAUAACUAGGCCCAUCUAUUGUGGGUUUUUAAAUUUUCAGCCCAUAUCUAGGCUCAUUUGCUGUGGGCCGGGCCUGAAGCCCUCGGGCCUGGACGAGCCCUUUAUAGGCCGAGUAAGGCUAGGACUAAGCUUUUGCCAUCUCUAAUCUUUUAGAGAUUUAUAGAGUCAAAAAGCGUUAUGGUCUAAAAAAAGUCUUAGUGUCCCUUAUUAAAAACUUGAAGGGUUUUUGUGAUCAUUUUCCUAAACCUUAGAGUUAUAAAUAUCAUUUUUCCUAAAGUAAAAGAUCUUUUAUUAAAAAUCUAUUUUUACUUACAUGUGAUAAUUGACAACUUAUAUUGGGGACCCAAAUUUUUCUUACUUUCCUUCUCUUGUUUAUCUCUCUUUUGGCCCUUCGAUAAAUCCUUCUCUUACUAGAUUCGUUUCACAUUAUUUUCUCUUUCGUCCAAUAUUCCAUCAUGUUUCUCUUGUUAAUAUUACAAAAUACAACAAUCAAAUAUUUUUUCAAUGUAAGAGAGGUGAUCUAUUGAGCAUGGUCUCGCUUCAUAAGGAGAGCGAUGAGCACAUGUCAAAGCUCUCAAAAAAAUAAGUUGUAAGAUCUAAAACUCUGUUAGCCUAAUAAGCUAUGCGAACAUUAAUUCUGAUGAUAACAAACUGUGUAUUAAGGGCAAAAUAGUAAACAUAUAUUUCAUGAUUUCACUAGUUCUUGAAAGGAAAAAUUCAUUCACGCAAUAUCAAGCUCAAGACAAGCAAUGGACAACGACACGAUCAAGGACAAAUAUUAAGAGGACUAGCUUAAAGUGAUCUCCGUUGUUAGAAUUCUUAUAAAGUCGGUACAAUUUAAUGUAGGCAUGAUUUAGCAUUUUAAAAGCUCAAUAGUUUGCUUAAUAAUAAUCAUUUGUCAUAAACUAAAGGCUUUAUAAUUAUAAGACAAGUAAUUUUAUGAGAUNNNNNNNNNNNNNNNNNNNNNNNNNNNNNNNNNNNNNNNNNNNNNNNNNNNNNNNNNNNNNNNNNNNNNNNNNNNNNNNNNNNNNNNNNNNNNNNNNNNNCCACUCACCAAAUUGUAUAUAUGUAUAUAUGUGUAUACACACACACACUACCUCAUAUAUGUGUAUAUACGAACAAUUUAAUCUACUUGCUCAUUAUAAGUAUUUAAAAUGAUAUUAUUCAAUAAGGAGCCCCAUUUUCAAUCUAUAAUUUAAUGCAACUCUGCAAUGAAUUCAUAAUCUAUUGCGUCUCUCAUAAUUGCUCUUUUCUUGUUACAGUAAUUGAUCAUUUUUUAACUCAAAUAGUUAUCCAUUUUUUAAUUGAAUUACGUGAUAUUUUUAUAUUACUAGGAAUGACAUUAUGUUAUAUAUAAGCAUUGGGUUUUUGUUAAAUGAUUUUAUCAACUUUACUGAUUGUUCUAUUUUAUUUUAUUUUUCCUCAGACAUAAUUAAUGGACUUCAAUGAUACUCAACUAGUUCAAGCCAAGGGGCUGAGCAAGAAGUCUUGAAUUCAUGUUCAGAAAAUGAUGAUAAUGCUUAUUUACCAGAAGUAGUGAGACUUGACCGGAAGCCCAAGUUAGGCCAAGAAUUUGAAUCAGACGCGAAGGAUGCUAGAUUUAGUGUUAGAAUUUAUUCCAGUAAAAAAGGACUAAAAAUACAAAAGAAAUUGUAGGGAAGGAGUACGCAUGUUUCAAAGAAGGAACAUCAUCCAAAAGAGGCAGUCACAUUAAUUAUAAUAAUAAUAAAAAGAAAUAAAGAGAGGGUUCAAGGACUAGUUCGAUCACGAAUGUCGUAAGGCAAAGCCUGCAGUGGUGAGAACAAGAUCGGGAAAUUAUAUUGUCAGCUUGUUAAUUUUUGGAGAGUCACAGCCAUCCAUUAUUCACCCCUCAAGAGUACAACCUUCAGCUGCAAGUAGCCAAUUGAGAGUCGGUACUAUAACUUAAAAAGCUUAAGCUUAUUUGUGAGUCAAGUUUUGGUACUAUAACUUAAUUAAAGCUUAAGCUUAUUUGACAAAUAGCCAGGCAAAUUAUAUUUGGAAUUGGUAAGAGUCUUGAGCAAAUUAAAGUAACCUUCUUGCUGCAGCCGAUACAAUUGCUGCACUGCCCAUUUUUAUAGCACGUGCGGCAACUAAGAAUGAAGAUAAGUUAUACUGUCUUGCGGAUCCAAAAGGAUGUUAUUACGCAGCAGGUACAUUUGUCUAUGUCCACACCACUCCUUAUGGAUCAUGUGUCACUUUGUUGUCAAGUAUCUAUCUAUUCCACGCACGUCGUUCUACAUAGAAGACACAAGAACGUGCAUUACCACUUUCUUUUUAUUAAAUUCUUAGUAUUUCUUACCACACGUUUAUGCUUGCUUGGUAAAUUGUGGGUUUUGCUCGGAUUUUUUAAAGUUUAGGCCUUUUUAAAAGUUUGUCUAAAUUUAGAUGGGUCAGACUUGGGCCGAACCUAGACAAACCUGCACUUUUUCAUUAAUUAUGAAAUAAUUUUUUAAUAAAAUAAAAAUAUUUAAAUAAAAAUAAUUAUUUUAUACAGAAUAGAAUAAUAGUCUAAUACACAAAAUAUUAAUAACACAACAUAAAAAAUUAUAAAUAUUAAUAUUAAUAUAAAUUUAAUUUAUUUUUUAUUUAUAAAUAAAAAUGCCAAGGCUUUUUUCUUAAGCCCUUAUCCAAGUCCAAUCUACGCAGCUUUACAUUUUUUCGGCUCAUAUCUAGGCCCAAUCCAAUUUAUUCGGUCUUUAGACCUGUGGAUCUAGAUCGGGCCAGGCCGGCUUCUUUGCCAAACUUAGUUUAUGGACAUUAUCAUAUUUUGUUGAACGGUUCUACUGUAAUACCGUAAUUUGUUUACGGCAUCAAUAAUGUUUAAAUUGUAUACCAUUGGAUGAAGUCAAUGGUAUAAAAUAUUUUUAUUAACAAAUAAUUUAAAAAUAAAUGUAACCAAUUGUUAGCCAUUUAAAAGGGCGGAAAUUUUUUGUAAAACAACUUUGACCACCCUCAGAGUUUGAAAUAAUUUCAUUUGAAUAAUAUAUUUUAUUUAAAAAUUAUUUUUUCAACCCUCUUUAAAAUUUGUAAUGUAAUAAUCUUUUUUAAAUUAAUGUUUCAAAAUAUAUUAAUAUUAAAUAUAGAACAUAAUAUUUAGUAGGUUAUCUAACACAAAUCAAAUAAAUAAGUUGCAAUUAUAAAAUUUUUAUAUGACAUAACACCAAUAAAUAAACACAACUACGUAUGUAUAUUUAAGUUAAUGUCAUGAUUACAUCAAUAAACUCUUGGGGUGAGGUUGCUUGUAACUUAAAAAAUACUUGAUCACACAUUUUUUAAUACAAUUUAAUAUCGCAUGUUAAAAUACUCAUUAUUUUAUAUACUAUUAAGGACCAUUGUAUAAUUGAUCAUGAAAUAUAUAUUACUUUUAAUAACCAUUUAGCAUACGUAUUCCAUGAAUUUAUUGUUUAUCUUACAAUUAAUAAUCUUAAAUGGUAGGAAAUUUAAGUUUUACAAGCCUAAAUAUUUUUAUUUUAUUUUUGAAUAUCACUUUGUUAAAUUUAUAAAAGUUAAAUCUAAUAUAUAUUCCUAAUUAGGUUUAGUUUAUGAAUCAUGACAUUUUAUUUUAUUGAUAUUCCUUAAUUGUAAUUACAAAACUUUAUGUUAUUAAGAGUCAUUACUUUUAUUAUGAUAAUUAAUAAUGACAAUAAAUAAAAUAUUAUCUCCAAUAAUAUUUACAUGUGAAAGAAUGAGAAAGAAAUUCUUCGUAAAUUUUUAUAUUUUUAUUUACAUGUACAAAAUUUCCCAAGCCUUAUAAAAUUUAAGUUUCACAAGAUUGUUUUCUUUUUAUUUUCGAAUAUCAUUGUUAAUUUCAUGAAAGUUAAAUCUAACAUAUAUUCCUAGUUAACUUUAGUUUAUGGAACAUGAAAAAUUAUUUUAUUGUUAUCUUUUGAUUGUAAUUAUGAAACUUUUAUAUUACUAAGAAUCAUUACUUAUAUUAUGAUAAUUAAUGGUGACAAUAAAUAAAAUAUUACGUCCAAAAAUAUUUAAUGGACAAAAUGAGAAAAAAUUCAUUAUAUGUUUAUAUAUUUUCAUUAUAAAAACAUAGUCUAGAAUAUUUUAACUUAAAAUUUUGUCACAAAAUGCCAUUAAUCUCUUAUAGUCUAAUGGUCGAUAUUGAAAGUCAAAGUAACUUUUUAUAAUAUUAUAUCAUUUACCAUUGAAUUGCAUGAAAUUAAUAGCUUAAUUUUGUGUUAAAAAUUUAAAUCAAAAUAUUUCUCAUUAUGUAGUUAUAUAGACAUCUAUAUUUUUCAAUAAUAAUUGUCGAACAAAAUAUUUCUCAUUUGUUAUGACUUAUAUAGUAUCAUUAAUAAAACAUAAAUAAAAGUAUUUUAUUACGAUACCUUCUAUUAUCAUCAUUGUUUAAGUAUUAAUAGUUUUGUAAUUAAAUUCAUAUCAAUACAAAUUAUUAUAAGACUUUAUGAAACUUCUUUAAAUAAAGUAUUAUUUAAAUAAUAUUACUUGUUAGUUAAAUUUAUUUUAAUGCUAUUAUUAUAUUUCUAACACUAAAUGUAAAAGAAAAAAAAUAAAACUAUAAAGUGAUAGAAUUAGUACAUAACAAUUUUAAUUCCAAAAUUAUUUGUAUUUAUCAAUGGAUAUAAAAAUAAUUUAAAGUAUGAAGAAAUAUCACAACUUGCAAAUUACUUGUUACAUAAUUAGUUAUCCAUUAAAAGUAAAUUAAUGGUAAAAAUUCUAAUAUUAAAUCCAAUAAUCCAUGAUUACUGAAUGUGGGAUUUUUAUCCGACAUAAUAUAAAUUUUCUUAAAAUAAAAAAAAUCUACAUUUACUUUCAAGCUAAAGGUUACUUGUUAUUAUUUAAAUAAUUAUUUUUUUUAUCCACUAUAUCAAAUGAAUAGUAGAGAUUAAAAUACUAAAAUUCAAGAAUCCACAACAAUUUCAUUAUUAAUACUGUAAAAACUCAUAUAACAUUAUAAAGAAAUCCUUUGUAAGUCACACCUAACAUCAUAACCAAAAGUGAAAAAAAAAAAAAAAUUGUAAGAGCACCCAAGAUUUUAUCGGCCAUUCCAUGGAUGAGGUGUGAAAAACUAUCAGGUGCAUACAUAAAAUUUAACAUCUAUUGCAUUCUGUAUCAAAUUCUUACCACGAGUUUGUGGACGUUAUCAUGAUUUGUUGAUAGUGACAACUAACUUCAUAACAAGAAGUGGCAAAAGAGAAAAAAAGAAAAGAAAAGAAAAGAAAUGAUAUUUUUCUAAGAAGACCCAAGUUCUUAUUGUCUGUUCCAUACAUAAGAUAUAAAAAACUAUUGGCCUCACAUAAAAUUUAAGACCUAUCACAUAGCGUAUUUUAUUUGGUGACACAUACAAUUGGACUAUGAAUUAUAUACCCCAAUUAUAUAAAUAUUAACUACAAAAUUGACCACACUCGAUCCAAACCCUAAAUAUAAUAUUAUUGCUACUUUGCAGGUAGAUAAUUGUCUGGUAACGACCAAGAAAACACUAUGUACUUAGCAUUUUAAUCUUAAACUUCUUUUACGUCAUGGAAAACUGGAAAUUAAUUUCAUUCAUCACUUUGAAGAAUGGUGAACCUGUGGUUUAGUCAAGUAGUUACAUGUGAAGAAAUUGAUGACUGGAAGGCUCUUUUUUUUAUUGAUGAUUAAUUACUUGUACAAUACUUUCUUAUAUACAAAGAUGGGUAUGGAAAUAUGGUAAGACUUCCUAUAGUCUAGGAAAAUAUUAAAAGAGAAUUAUAAUGCAACCAAAAUUACAGCUUCCACUUAUUACUAUUGUCCACAAUCUUGGCUGAUUCACAUGUAUUGAUGAUAAUUCCUUUUCUUAUCAUCUAAUUGCAUAUAUUGAUGAUGAUAAUGAUUCCUUUCCUUAUCAUCCCCCCUUAAUGUGGCGUGUGGAAGGGCUUCUUCACCAAAAUUGCUACGAAAUCUAAGGAAAGGAUACUUGCCAAGGGCUUUGUGAAGACAUCUGCUACUUGCAAAGUUGUAGGCAUAUAACAUGUGACAAUGGCACCAAUGGCAACUUUUAGGGAUGGCAAUGGGGUGGGGUGGGGUGGGGGUGAGGAGGCCUACCCCAUUCCCCACCCCAUAAAAAAUUUUACCCCCAUUCCCCACCCCAUUCCCCAAUAUAUUUAGUGGGGUGGGGAUGGGGAAUUCCCAUAUGGGGAAUGACUUCCCCAUCCCCACCCCAUUCCCCAUUUACUUAUUUAAUUAUUUUAUAAUAAGUAUGAAUACAUAAUUUCAAUAAAUAAAAAAUUAGAGACUUAAAUAAAAUAAAAUCAUCACCAUUUUAUAAAGUAUUUAAAUUAUUGAAAAAAACUUCGAAAGUUUGAAACAAUAUCUUGAAAUAAUAUCAAAACUACAAAAUGUUUGGAUAAAUAAUAACUAAAAGAACAAAAAUGUAUAGAAAAUGUUUCAAAUCCUUCUUUCUUUGGCUUCAUCUUCUCUUUAUCAUAUUCAUAUAGCCUAUGAUUGUCACUUUAAUUCUGCAAUAUCAAAUAAUAAAAUUAAUUACUGUUAGUUCCCUUUAAUUUUUUUAAAGAAAAUGUUUUGUCAUACAUCAUUUGUAAACACUUGUAAUAAAUAAGAUGAUUAACCUCAUUGAAAUAGAAUUUUACCUCAUCUGUAUCUUCAUAAAAUGAGUCGCAUCUAUUUUUUUGUAAAAGAACCAGAACUAGAACUUGAUAAUAUAAACAAACUCAUAUAUGAACAAUAGUUUGCUAAAAUCAAAUAAAAAUCAAAUAGAAUUAAUUACACACACCCUUUUAAUGCAAAUUAUUUAUUCAUACAACAUACCUUUAAUUUCUGCCCAUAACCAAUUUUGAGCACACAUUAAAGCCUCCAAUGUUUUAGGAUGUAAGCUGCUACGAUGUGGACUCACGAAUCUACCACUAGUACUAAAAGCAGACUCAGAAGUAACGGUAGAAACAGGAAUGGCUAAAAUAUCUCAGGCAAUAACAUGCAAAGUAGGAUAUUUGCUUCCGUUUGCUUUCCACCAAGCCAAUAUGUCAAAGUUAGGAGACCUAGGUAAGACAGGUUCCCCUAAAUAAUGGUCCAGCUCUGACUUAACAUGCUCAUCACUAGUGGUACUACUAACAAAUAAGUCAAAUGAUGCCAAAGGAUCCACUUUGCCCAAAACCAAUUCUAAUUGAAAAGAUGAAGCAAUUGUAGAUUGAUAACCUUAUUCUCUUGUAUUAUUGUUUAGGGUUAAGUAGGAAUUGUAUUUUAGGAAUUUUUUAUUAUUAUAAUAUAUUUAUUAAUUUAUAUUAGUUAAAAAUAAAAAAAAUUACUAAUUAAUAUUUUAAUUACUAAAAAAUUAGUAAAUAAAAAUUAAAAAUAUUUUCAUAUAAUGGGGAUUGGGGUGGGGAUAGGGUGGGGAGUGCAAAACCAAACCCCACCCCAUUAAUGAUUUGGGGAUUAUUUUUCACCCAUUCCCCACCCCAUUCCCCAAAAAUUAUUUAAAAUUCACCCCAUAUGGGGCGGGCUCCAAACCCAUGGAGAGUUUUGCCAUCCCUAGCAACUUUCUCUCCAACAAAGUGAUAAUCAAUUUCAAUAUAUUUGGAUCGAGCAUGGAAAACUAGAUUAGUAUACAUAUGAAGUGCACUAAUGUUAUAAAAAAGAGUUGAGGUGGUUUGUGUAGAAAUAUGUCAAUAUGUCAAAGAAGAAAAAUUAACCAAGUUAUUUCUGCAGCAGUUAAUGCAAGUGAACGAUACUUCACUUCAGAGCUGGAUCUUGACACUGUAGAUUAUCUUUAGAGGACCAUGAAAUACAAUUUGCACCUAGGUAAAUGCGGUAGCUAUUAGUACUAUGACGUGUAAUUGUACAUCCUCCCCAAUCGGCAUCACAAAAUCCUUUAAGACAUAGGGUGCUUUUGCGAAGAUACUGAAUAUUGUAGUCUAUUGUGCCUUUUAGAUAUCGUAGUAUCCUCUUGACAGAACGAAGAUUACCCACCCCAGGUUCUUAAAAAUUUUGGCAGACCUUGUUAGCAACAUGCACAAUGUCUGGCCAAGAGAAACUCAGAUAUUGUAAUCCUUCAAUAAGGCGUCGAUAUUCUGUUGGAUCCCUUGGGGUGCUAUCAAACUUGGUCGGCGGUAGCGUUAUAGCCAUUGGGUAGCUAAGUGUGAGCAUUCCAGCAUCUUUGCAUGAGCUACAAGGUCUUUUAUGUACUUGGUUUGCUUAUAAAAAUACCUUGUAAAAAUUGCUGAAUUUCAAGGCCAAGAAAAUAACGAAGCUCACCAAGAUCAUUUAAUGCAAAGUCCAUGCUUAGCCUCUAAAUAAGCUUGCCAAAAUAAUCUUCAUUGAUGGUAACAAUUUGUGUUGAAGUCAACAAAUUGUUGGUGCAAAUUUGUUAAAGUCAACAAAUUGUUAGUGCAACCAACAAUUGUAGAGAAGCAAAAUCAAAAUUGAUUUUGUAGCCGAAAAGAAAGAAUUGACAAAGGGGAUGAAUUUGAAAAAUAAUAAUAAUUAAAAAUUAUAUUUUUAAUUAUUUUAUUCUUUGCAUAGUAAUUCAUUUCUCCUAUAAAUAGCUAAGUAUUUCAUUCAUUUGAAAUCAUCCCAAAAUUGUUAAGCUUAUAAGUUUCUAAGCUUUUGAGAGAAGUGAGAGAAGUGUGUCUGUGGAAUUUAUCUUUCCUACAGAGUGUGAGAGUACUGGGUAUAUUUGGGUUUCUGGAAAGUGAGAUUCGUUACUCAAAUAUUAUACUCUAUUAAUUGUUAAAUAAACAAUUAUUCUUUCUUGCCUCCGUGGAUGUAGGUUUAAUUACCGAACCACGUAAUUCUUGUGUUCUUUAUUUUUCUAUAAUUAUUUUGGUGCGCUUGAUUCCGCAUUUCUCGCACAACAAGUGGUAUCAGAGCCGACGUUUCGUACUCGGGGGAUAUGGUACUGUUCCCGUAUACGGUACUAUUCACGUAUACGGUACUGUUCACAUACGGUACUGUUCACGAAUACGGUGGAGACGACCAUUUGUACUUGGGAGACAGUCUAUUGUAAGUAGUGUGUAUUUUUGCAUGUCUAGGAAAGUUCUGUCAACAAAGACGAUACGAGUCUAAGGAUCUGGUUUUUAAUUGGGACCAAGUUCCUGUCCAGUUUCCUGGGAACUUUCCUGGUGCAUUUAUUCACGCGAAAUUAACAUCAUAGAGACUGUUUUUCAAGUGGAAAUAGUUCGUUGAGAAAAUGGUAGAAGAUGAAACUUCCAGAAUUGGGGAGAGAUCUACCGAAACUAUUUCAGGAGACACUUCAGGUGGGAGGCGAGAUUUGUCAAAUCGCUAUUCAGCACCUAUUAUAGGAGGCCAGAAGAUCGAUGUUGAAAAGUUUGAUGGGAAAAUCAACUUCGGCAUGUGGAGGCGCGAAGUUAUGGAUGCCCUUAUUCAAAUCGAUCUUGAUGUUGUUCUGAAAAAUAAAAGACACUUGUAUGAUGAAGAAAUUUGGGAUUGUAUGAACGAGAAAGCUUGUGGUCAGAUCAGAUCUUGUUUGACCAAGGAGGUGAAAUACUUGGUGAAAGAUGAGGAGUGUGCGGUGACUUUGUGGCGUACAUUGGAGGAGAAGUACCUGCUGAAAAGUCCUGAAAAUCGUCUUCAUGCAAUGAGCCAAGUAUAUGGCUUUCGAAUGAAGCCUGGGGUGUCAAUGCACGAUCAUGUUUCAAGAUUUAAAAAGUUACUUGCUGAUUUGAAGAAUCUUGAUGAAGAUAUUAAGGAUGAAGUCAAAAGUGAUGUCCGUUUUGCCGUUUGAUCUCUCGUUUAUUGUGAAAUGACUAUGAUGCCCCUAAAAUACACAAAAUACUUAAUUAAAAUAAAACACACAUACUUAAAUUACAAGAACCUUAAAUACAUAAAAGUAAGGGUUGUUAGUAAGACUUGAAAUGUAAAAUGACUAUUUUCUCCUUUAUAAAUAUACAUUUUCUAACACUCAAUACAUCCCCCAACCAGCUUAUUGCUAGUCCCUAGUAAAUAAAGCGAAAACAAAAUUCAAACACAAUUUUUUUUUUAAUUUAAACAAUUUUGUUUAUUCAAUCAGACUAAUGAUAGCAAUCAAAUAAAAGUAUAAGCAUUAUCUCCAGUCUAAAGCAACAUCACACCCACAUCAACCAUCCACAUGAAUCAGCCUAGUAGAUUGUCAUAGCUACUUUCAAGAAUGACAUGUCAAACCCCAAAAUCUCACUAGAAGUAGUGACACUCUCACAAAGAAAUUAAACCCAAUAAAAAUAGUCACUCCAAUGAAUGGUACUUGAGAGAGAAAAUAAUAAAGAAGUGAUAUCACAUGCUCUCACCAAGAUGAAAGAAAUAUGCCCUCAACUUAGAAAUAAUACGAUCUCAAGUCAAAUAAAAAUGCUAGUCAACCCAAUUUAUUUAUUUUUAUUUAUUUAUUUUUUUUAAUGCACCACUACAUCUUUUUAGCCCAUAUAACUAGCUUCUACUUCAGAUUAUAUUUCCCUAAAAUCAAGAAGGACUUUUAUUAGGAAGUAACGUAGGCUAGUGACAUGGCUAACAAAGAAGGAAAAUAAGGAAAACAAAGUGUAUGUUUGAGAAAAAUACAGAGGAAUUUUUUUUCUUUUUUUUGGAAGUUGCAAGGUGGAUUUCACCUAUUAUUGUUAUUUUUUUUCUUUUUUUUUUUUUUUUGAAACAACGAUUUUUUUUUUUUUUUUUGCUUUUGUUAGGCAUAACUUCACUAAACAAAAUAUUUAUUUACAUUUUUCUCAAACAUAAAUAGGUGAUGGAACUUGUAAGAUAUUGGGUAAUACUCCAAAUCGGAGUGGGUCAAGAUGAUAAGUUUGACAAAGAAAUUUUUUUUUUUUAAGGGCUCAAAAGGGUUAACUAUGGAUAUUUGAUAAAAGGGAUGGCUAGAAAGGCUCAAAUGGAUCAAAGAUGACAUUUCCAUCGUCUUUUAGGGCUCUAAAUAAUCUAUCAUAUCUACUAGUUAGAUGUGCCUCCAUAUGUAGCAACACACAUUUUUUUUUUAUUUUUUUAAUUUUACAAUUUUUUUUUUUUAGGGUUAACUCAAAAGAAAUCUAGAGAUCGUGUAUACAAUAAUAAACUGAUAAGCUGUAUAAAGAAUGGGCAAAAUGGUUACUCUCCAAGAAAAAUGAUAAGCUCAAAAACUCACUUGGUACUUAUUAUGACAUGUUCAUUCCUUCAAGCAACUCAUAUUUGUCUCCGACAUCAACAUGUAAAGUAGCAAACAUAGCGUAACAUCACUUAAGAUCAAAGAUAAUACAAAUACUAAAAUUUGAAAUUAAUCAUGUCAUCCAAUGUUAAAACAAAUCACACAAUUUUUUUUUUAAACAACAUUAUACCCCCCAACCUAUCCUAAACAUGAAAGGAAAAUAUGCAUGCAGAAAUGUGAAAAUGAUGCAGAAAAACUAAUUAGAAAAUGAUAGAAAAUGAAAAUGGUUUUUUUUUUUUUUAACUUAAGAAGAUGCGUUUCUAGAGGCACUACACUUCAUAUUCAGCCAUUUUCGACUAAAAAAAAAAAUUGAAAAUGUAUAUUUAUAAAGGAGAAAUUAAAAAGAAGAAGAAAAAUGAACAUCAAAACAUAAUAAAGAAAAAGAAAAUGUCUGAAAUUUUUUUUGUUUUUUUUAAUUUUUUUUUUCAAAUGAUGAAGAUGCGUUUCUAGAGUCACUACACUCCAUAUUCAGCCAUCUUCAACACAAAAAGUUAGCAACAGUUAGUUUUUACAACAAAAAAUCAGUAAAAACUUAACCAAGAUUCCACAAUUGUCGACUAUUCCCUCCCCCCAACCAGAAUGAAACAUUGUCCUCAAUGUUGUAAAGGAAAGAAGUAGAGUUUAGAAGACAUCACCUGGGUGGUGCAACACAGAAGAAAAUAUUUACAGGCGGAGAGUUAAAUCUAAUUUUUACUUCUUACUGCGGCUACUGUUACCGUCAUUAUUUGAACGCUCCAACACAAAGGUCCAAGGGUCUGGCUCCGGUUUAUAAGCUUGUAACAUAUCAAGUAGCUCAUUAGCAGUGUGAGCACAAAUAAAAAGUUUUUUCGCACUGGAAUGAAUGAAGUAGUUUUUUAUUGCAUGGUUAAGAAAUGCGAUGAAGCCAUCAUAAAAAUUAUUGACAUUUAACAAACCGAUGGGUUUCUGGUGAAUGUGCAGAUGGGCCCAAGAUGCUAGUGUGAUAAGUGUCUCUAGUGUUGCAAGAUCUCCUGGAAGGAAAAUAAAAGCAUCAGCAUGAUUAAGCAUUUCAGUUAUUCUUUCUUGCAUACCUGAGACGACUAACUCUUCUCCAGUCGAUGAGUCAGACAAACUGCCCAAAGAUUUUAGAGCUCUUGUGAUGAUGCCUAACACUUGGCUUCCUCUGAUAAAAGCAGCUUCUGAGACCAAUUUUGAUAACCCUCGGUUAUCUCCUCCAUACACCAAGUGUAAUUUUCUCUCUGCUAUGCUUCGACCAAGAUCUAUGGCUGCAUCAACAAACUCUUUAUGUUUGUCAUAGGUAAAUCCAGAAAGCACACAAAUGUUCUUGAAUUGUCUAUUGGGAGUAGCUGCCAUUGGCAUAUUUCUCAAAAAUAAUUUGUGAGUGCUUAACAAAAAGUCAUAUAUUAAGAAUCUUGGUGACAGUGGGUCACAACUGUGUAUGAGGUGGUAUGUCAGUGUCAAAUAACGCGUAAAGCACAUGGAUCGCGAGUCAAAAAGGAAACAGUAAAAAGAAAAAGAAAUAAUGAUAAAAUAAAAUUAUUAAAGACAAUAAUGCAAAUGAUAAAACAAUAGUGAAAUAAAAUAACAGUGAAGUAAAAGGAUAUUUACAGGUAGUUGCGUCUGUGGCUCACAUCUUCCUCUGGUUUUAUGUCCAGAAACGGCUUGAACGCCCUCUAUGGGUCGAGGAUAGACUUCCCAUCUAGUUUUCUUAUAAACUGGCAAACAUGGUCGUUUAUAGUCAGAUUCCCGAGACUAUAUCAUGCAUGCUCUUUCUGGAAUAAUGGCCAUAACUGGAGAAUCACUCCUUGCACAUAUCCACUGAGAUGCGUUUUAAGUGAUAAAAGGAUAUCAUCCAAUGACUCCUUAUUCAAGCCAUCCCUAAUGAAUUGAAUCUUAUCUUCCCUGUUAUCAGACACCAUUCCUAAAGAACAUGGUUUUUUAUCGCAACUCAUUCUGGCACACUUAUGACAAGCAACAUAAAUUCUUCGAGCUCUUCGUUUUCUUGCAUAAUUUCAUUUACCACAACCAGGCAUGUAUGCAAUAAAUUUUAGAGGUAACUCACCUGCCAAUUGUACUUUAGCCUCGAUUAACCAACGGAUGUUAGCAGGUAUGUUAUUCCUCAUGAGCAAUCGCAUGCGUUCGGACUGGGCUUUAUAGAUCGUAAGGAGGGCAUUCUGAGGGAGUGAAGGGAAUCGCUUGUGAAGCUUCGCUAAAAUCUCGUUUUUGUCCAUACCUUCGCCUCAAAAUGUCAGUUAUUAUAGGAAACUGAAGUAACCGACUUGAUUGUCACGGAGUACCGUUAUCUGCUACUUCACCGGGGUAACAAACUAAAGCACACAAACAGAAAAACAAAUUAAAACACACAAAGAAAAUUAAAAUCGUCCUCUUAUUGAAUUUACUUCAAGCUCCAACUGGAUGUUGUAAACACUUUUCUCAAUGUCUCUGAGUUGGCUUUCUAAACCCUCAACAUAGGAUACUAACUCUGGUGGUUGCAGAGCCCAAAUACGAUGUGUUUUACAAAAUUGAAUCUGCCUUUUGAGAUGAGUUUUAACAUGUUGAAGUGGUUUAAGAAUGUUCAGUAGGAACGGUCUAAGUAUGGUACUCAUGAUUAACAAUGAUAAGAGAAAACUUAAUGGUAAAACAAACACACUUAUGCAAAAAUAAUUUCAAUUAGCAAAAGAAUAAUAAAAAGAAAGAAAGAAAAAUCAAACCACCGAAAAGAAAAAAAAUCAAUUCAAAUCUGGUAGGUCACUCAAAUUUAUUUCAGUGUCUUCUCCAUGUUGUUGGUACUCUAGAUAUGGCUUUAAUCUUUGACCAUUAACUUUAAAUGUGACACCGUUAUUUGGGUCCUUAAUUUCUAUUGCCCCAUGUGGAAAAACAGUAUGAACAAUAAAGGGACCAGACCAUCGAGAGCGUAACUUACCUGGGAAUAGGUGCAAGCGAUGAUUGAAUAAAAGCACUUUCUGACCCGGAGUGAAAGAUUUUCUCAUAAUUUUCUUGUCAUGGAAGACUUUCAUUCGUUACUUGUAAAUCUUGGCAUUUUCGUAUGCAUCAUUGCGAAUUUCUUCAAGUUCUGCCAGUUGUAAUCUUCUUUCUGAGCUGGCUUGCUGCAUGUCAAAGUUGAAUUUCUUGAUGGCCCAAUAUGCACGAUGCUCAAGUGCCACAUAUAGGUGGCAAGCUUUUCCAUACACUAGCUUGUAGGGUGACAUCCCAAUCGGGGUCUUGAAAGUCGUUCUAUAUGCCUAUAAUGCAUCAUCAAGACUUAAUGACCAAUCUUUUUUGUCCGACCUUACCGUCUUUUCUAAUAUGUGCUUUAUUUCUCGAUUGGAGAUCUCAACUUGGCCACUAGUUUGCGGAUGAUAUGGGCAAUUUGUGAGUGAUUGAAUACUUCGUCAAAAGAGCCUUGAAUGCUUUAUUACAAAAGUGGGCACCACCAUCACUGAUUAUCGCUCGAGGGAAUCCAAAACGUGAAACAAUGUUGCUUUUCAAAAAUCCUAUCACCACCUUAUGAUCAUUGGUUCUACAUGCAAUUGCUUCUACCCAUUUUGAUACGUAAUCAACAGCAACCAAUAUGUAUUGAUGGCCAAAAGAAGAGGGAAAGAGUCACAUGAAGUCGAUACCCCAUACGUCAAAAAUCUCUACCACUAAAAUUGGAUUUAGUGGCAUCAUGUUCCUUCGUGUAAUGCUCCUCAUUCGUUGACACCUAUCACAUGAAGAACAGAAAGUGUAAGCGUUUCGAAAUAUAGUUGGCCAAUAGAAACCACAUUGUAAAACUUUAGUUGCUGUUUUCUUAACGCUGAAAUGGCCUCCACAAGCUUGUUCAUGGCAGAAUGAAAGGAUAUUCUGAAUUUCAUUUUCUGGGACACAUCGUCUAAUAAUUUGAUCUGCACAAUACUUGAACAAAUACGGGUCAUCCCAAAAGAAAUUCUUUAUUUCUGCAAAGAAUUUAGCCUUGUCUUGCUUGGUCCAAUGCUCUGGAAGUUGACCUGUAACAAGAUAAUUAACGAUAUCAGCAUACCAUGGUAAUACUUCCACACUCAUUAAUUGUUCAUCUGGAAAUGACUCAUUCAAUGGUAAUGUUUCCAUAAUUGUGUCAAAAUGGAGACGAGAGAGAUGGUCUGCCACAACAUUUUCUGUGUCUUUCUUAUCUUUAAAUUCCAAGUCGAAUUCCUGCAAAAGUAACACCCAACGAAUUAGUCUAGCUUUUGCAUCUUUUUUUGUGAGAAGAUAUUUAAGAGCAGCAUGAUCUGCGAACACAAUUAUUUUACAACCAAUGAGAUAAGAUCGAAAUUUUUCUAAUGCAAACACUACUGCUAGCAUUUCUUUUUUAGUAGUUGAAUAAUUCGACUGUGCAUCAUUGAAUGUCAUACUAGCAUAGUAAAUAACAUGGGGAAUUUGAUCAACUUUUUGUCCUAAUAUUGCUCCUACUGCAUAAUCAGAUGCAUCACACAUGAGCUCGAAUGGUAAGCUCCAAUUUGGGGGCUGGAUGAUGGGUGAUGAUGUCAACAAUUGCUUUAAUUUUUCAAAAGCCAUAAGACAUGAAUCAUUAAAGAUAAAAGGUACAUCUUUAGCAAGUAAAUUGCAUACGGGUAUAGAAACUUUGCUGAAAUCUUUAAUGAAACGUCUAUAGAAACCAGCAUGCCCAAGGAAAGAUCUUAUUUCUCUGACUGUUUUGGGUAGAGGAAGAUUAGAAAUGAGAUCCACCUUGGCUUUGUCAACCUCAAUACCUUUGCUCGAAAUGAUGUGACCGAGAACAAUACAUUGCUUUACCAUAAAAUGGCACUUCUCCCAAUUUAAGACUAAGUUCUUCUCGAUAUAUCUCUGCAUAACUAGUGUUAGAUGAUGUAAACAUUGCUCAAAUGAGUCACCAAAGGCAGAAAAAUCAUCCAUAAAGACUUUAAGGAAUCAUUCAAUCAUAUCAGAAAAAAUGCUCAACAUGCAUCGUUGAAAUGGCAUUCUCCUAUAUGCAAAUGUGCCAAAAGGGCAAGUGAAAGUAGUUUUUUCUUGAUCUUUUGGUGCUAUGGGAAUAUGAUUAUAUCCUGAGUAGCCAUCUAGAAAGCAAUAAAAUUCAUGGCCUGCCAAUCUAUCAAGCAUUUGAUCGAUAAAUGGUAAAGGAAAAUGGUCUUUACGUGUGACAGAAUUCAACUUUAUAUAAUCAAUGCAUACACGCCAUCCUGUAGUCAUUCUAGUUGGUAUGAAUUCAUUAUCGGCAUUCGUAACUACUGUGACUCCUGACUUUUUGGGGACAACUUGUACAGGACUGACCCACGAACUAUCAGAAAUUGGGUAAAUGAUACCUGCGUCUAAUGGCUUAAGGACUUCAGUUCUAACAACUUCUUUCAUGUUAGGAUUUAACCGACGUUGCAUUUCCCUAGUAGGUUUAGCAUUUUCAUCAAGGUGAAUGUAAUGCAUGCAGUCUACUGGGUUUAUAUAUUUAAUGUCUGCUAUGGUCCAUCUUAAUGCUCCUUUGUGCUCUUUUAAAACAUCCAACAACUUACCUUUUUGUUCGUCAUUGAGGAAUGAUACGAUGAUUACCGGCAUAGUAUUUUCUUCUCCUAAAAAUGCAUAUUCCAAAGUGUUGGGUAAUGGUUUGAGCUCGCGUUUCAGUGCUGAUUCUGAUGAUAUGAUGAGUUUCUUUUCUAAUGGUGCUAGUUGUUCAACUCUUGACUUCCAUUUAUUAGUGUCCAUGGAUGGUGCUGAGUCAAGUAGGGCGUUGACCUCAUCGACUGAUCUGUCAAUAUCAAAAUCCAAACCAACGUGAGUUAAGCAUGUUUGUAAAUGAUCAUCACUAAGGUUUGAAAGAAAAGUAUUAUCAACUAUUGUUUCUAUUAAAUCCACAUCAACAAUUCCAUCAUCUGUGUUGUGAGGUUGCUUGGCAAUGUUGAAGAUGUUUAGCUCCAUAGUCAUGUUGCCGAAGGACAACUGCAUAUUUCCAGUCCUGCAUUAAAUGUGAGCAUCCGUAGUUGCCAAAAAAGGUCGGCCUAGAAUAAUGGGGAUGUGUUUCCUUGAAUCAUGUAUUGGUUGAGUGUCAAUUACAAUGAAAUCAACAGGAAAAUAAAACUUGUCUAUCUGGAUAAGUACGUCCUCCACAAUACCACGAGGUAUUUUCGUGGACCGAUCUGCAAGUUGUAACACCACUAGAGUUGAGUGUAAUUCUCUCAGUCCAAGUUUCACGAAUACAGAGUAAAACAACAAAUUUACACUAGCUCAUAAAUCCAACAAAACAUUCUCAAUUGUGUGGUUCCCUAUAUUACAUGAGAUAGUGGGGGAGCCUGGGUCUUUGCAUUUUAAAGGAAUUUUGUGUUGGAGUAAAGAACUAACGUUUUCUGUUAAAAAUGCCUUCUUUUGAACAUGAAUAUUUCUCUUUUUAAUACAAAGGUCUUUAAGAAAUUGGGCAUAAGAUGAAAUUUGUUUUAUAGCAUCAAGCAAAGGGAUGUUAACACUUACCUGUUUGAAGAUUUCAAAAAUCUUACCUGUGGAUUUUCUCUUCUUUCCUUUAGCUAACCUCUGAGGAAAUGGAGAUUUGGGAACAUAUUCUCGUGGGUUGGUUUCUUUUUUCUCUUCCGAUGGUGAGUCCUCAACAUUCACAGGCACAAUUUGAUUUUCUUUUGUCACCGGCAUCUCCACUUUGUUGUCGACUUCUUUUUCUUUUUGCAAGGUCAUGACUGUUUUGACCUCUCCGUGUUGGUGUGGUGAACUGGUACUUGCUUCAUGCACUCCUUUAGGAUUAGGCACUGGUUGACUUGGAAACUUGCCUUUCUCAACAGUCAUUGCCAAGGUCUGAAUUGAAGAAGCAAGCUGUCCCACCAUCUUCUCGAGGCUUGAAACUGAUUGGGCUUGUGAGUUGAAGCCUUCUCUCAACUCAUUUCGUAGUCCAUCAAUGGUGCGGUUUUGUUGCUCAAUCGUAGAGUGAGUAACAUUCUUGAAAUUCUGGAAUGCAUCCUCCCAUGGUCUGGGUUGAGAGUAGUUCUGGUUCUGAUUGUAUGGUCUAAAUGGUGGCUGAGAGGCUUGAGGAACUUGGGGAAUUGGUUGUAUUGGUAGAGCUGGAGCUGCUGGUCCAUUCUGUUGGAAUCCUUGAGACCAUGAAAAAUUAGGGUGGUCUCUCCAUCCAGGAUUAUAUGUGUUGGAGUAUGAGUUGUAAUUUGAUGGCUUUCUCAUUACACCUAUGGCAUUGACUUGAUCUGGAUAUGAGUCAGGGUCAUGUAGUUCUGUUGAUUUAGCAGUCGAUAACGAUGCUAUUUGUCGAGAGAGACUUUCAACUAUCUCUUUGACUUCUUUGAUUCCCGAAGUUGACUCGCCAAUGGGAACCUCAUUCACUCCUUUAAUUCUUUUAGUGUUCUUGAGCGAUCGACUCCGUUGUUGGGAAUUAUCCACUUGUCGCUGGAAGAAUUCCCAAAUCUCUGAUGCACUUUUUGACAUUAGCUCUCCUCCACUUGUCGCCAUUAGCCAUUCUUGCACAUUUGGCAAUAAUUCCUCCAAAAAGUAUUGGCAUUGGUGCCAUUUCUCAUACCCAUGAUGUGGACACUUCAAAAGUAGCUCAUUGAAUCGCUCUCAUGUUUCGAAAAACUGCUCGUCCCUCUUUGGGUAAACUAUGAGAUUUCCAUGCGAAUAGCAUUGGUUUUAUGCACUGGGAAAUAUUUAUUCAAAAAUUUCGUUACCAUUUGUUCCCAUGAUGUAAUGCUAUUAGCAGGCAAAGUAUUUAACCAUGAACGAGCUCUAUCCUUUAAAGAAAAUGUGAAUAAUCUAAGUUUAACAUCAUCAUCAAAAAAAUUAUCAUAUUUAAAUGUUUGACAAAUAGCAUGAAAAUCAUUCAAAUGAUUAUAUGGGUCCUCAUUUUGUAGGCCAUAGAAUGUUGGGAGACAAUUUAGCACACUAGGUUUUAGUUCAAAACUCCUAGCAGCUACAUUUGGGUAUCUUAUGCAUGAUGUGCUCAAAUUAGCUAAGGGACUAAAGUAGUCCUUAAAUGGCCUCUCCUGUGGUGUUUGUUAUUGCAAAUCCAUUUUGUUUUUAAAGUGUUUGUGUGUGCGCAGUGUUUUCUCAAGUUCAAGAUCUAUAGGCUCAAAAUUAGGUAACAAUGACAUUCGACCAUGCAUGCAAUGAAUACAAAAAAAAUGAGAACAAAAUUAAUAAAAAUAAAUAAACAAGAAAGAGAAAUUACGGUACUAACCUUAUUACUCUGUUAAAACCUUUCUAUAAAAACACACUAAAAAAAAUCAUGAAAUAAAUUAACUAAAAAUUAAAUUAAAAAGAUAAACAAAAAUUACAAAACAAAAAAAACUUAAAAAUUAAAUUGCAAAAUUGUAAAGAAUAGAGAAAGAAAAUAAAUUAUUACCUCUAAAUGCAGAUUCACUUUUUUUUCUCUCUUUUUUUUAAUAAGAAAAAAAUACAAGAAAACAAAUAAAAGAAAUUAUUCACAAAAAUUAAUUCUAUGAAUUAAAAUUACUUACCUCCCCGGCAACGGCGCCAAAAACCUGUUGUGCAAAUUUUAUUGAACUCACAAGUGCACGAAUCUAUUGUAGUAUAAAUCAAUGGUGACGAGUGUCGAUCCCACGAGGAGGUGUAUUUUAAUUGUGUGUAGAAUUAAUUUUGUAAAUGGGUGGUUGGAUUUGUGAUGAAAAUGAUUUGGAUUAUCCUAAAAUUCGAAUUAAAAUGGCAAGAAUAAAUUGAAGUGAAAAUCUAUUAAAUUGACGUACUUGGAUAUCUGCAUCCGUAUCAACAUGCACCAUGGGCUAAAUAUUCCUUAUUAAUACCAAUUAAAUCAUGAGGGGGGAAUCCACACCUCAUGAACCACACUCUAAUCAAUAUGGUGCUAAGGGCUUAUCGUGCCAAAUAAUAAUAACAUUGUACUAGAGAGUCGGUGAAACCAAUGCGGUAUCUAGACAAGAUUAUUAUUAUUUGUCGACGAAAAGUCAAAUCAUCCACAAAAAUUAGAGGGGAAGAGAAAGUAAAUUUACCAAAUAAAGCCCAUGACACAUGUUGAGACUUCACCUUCAACCCAAGCUUGAAAGAAAAUUAGCUACUCAUAAUUGAACUAUGGGUAAAAUAGGAAUUUAUUAAAAUACGUAGAAAAUACAAGAUGGAGAAGGAAUUACAGAAAAUGGAGCCCAAAAAUGGAUUCCGAGAUCCCCAAUUAGGGGGGGGGGAGAGCCCCAUUUUUAUAGAUACAUUGAGUAAAUCAUGGCUAUCGGAUCAAAAACAUUUCGGAAGCUCAGGAUUGCGCCACGUCAUCAAUCAACAGUACGCGGUUUGACCACGCAGUUGAACAGUAACACGGUUUGACCCGGCUUGAACAGUAACGCGGUUUGGUUGAAAAUAAUCUUGUGUAAUGCAUGUACCGUACGCGAGAUUUUUGGUCCACUGAUAUGCUGCCACGUCACCAUCAACAGUAAAUAAGAAUUUUAGUCCAACAGAAACGUGACACCUCAUCAGUCAAUGCCACAUCAUCGGUCAAUGCCACGUCAUCGAUCCGUCUAUGUGAACAGUGUCGUGAACAGUAACGUAGACAGUACAGUAUAUGUGAAUAGUACCGUAUAUGUGAAUAGUACCAUUUUUCCUUUUAUACUCCUCCUAAGGUUUUCGACCGUCCUGAGUUCAAAAGUGAUGUCCGUUUUGCCAUCUGAUCUCUCGUUUAUUGUGAAAUGACUAUACAUGCCCUUAAAAUACAUAAAAUACUUAAUUAAAAUAAAACACACAUAAUUAAAUUACAAGAAGCUGAAAUACAUAAAAGUAAGGGUUGUUAGUAAGACUUGAAAUGUAAAAUGACAAUUUUCUCCUUUAUAAAUAUACAUUUUCUAACACUCAAUAGGCACCAUCAUCUUUGAACAAACCACCAAAUCCUAUUUCUCAUCCAUCAAAUUAAUCUAAUCAUCAACAACAGCCUUUGCCAACCACAAACAACCAAUCACUAUUAUUGCUGCUGCAUAAGUCACCAGUGUCAAUGCAACGAUCACCACAAUUCACCAACUGAGCCACUAUCACUGUUUCCAACCAUCCAAGCUCACCUCGCUUGACACAAUUCGAUCAUGCAACCCAUGCAACAACAUUAAGCAACCGCUAUCAGUCACAAACUACUGCCAAUCAGUCCACCAUCACUGACCAACCUGCCAUUGUUGACCAUGUAAAGUCAUUCCAAACUGCUACCAAUCAUGCAAUGCAUAAUGAAAGGCAACCAAGUCCAAUUGAGUGUGCUCCCCACGCAUGCUACAACUAACAAAAAAGUUUGGCAACAAAUGAGCCACUUUUGGCAUCCCAUGAUGGGCUGCCACCUAUUUCCUUUUUUCCCACACAUGUAUCCAACUUUCUAGCUCAUGCUGUAAUCCCCACAAUAGUCACGCAUGAGACAUUUUCAUAAAUCGCACCUCAUACCACAAAACCAUGUGACUAUAGCUCAAACUAUACACACUCACCUCAAGCCCAUUUGGCUUUUCAAGCUCAUUCGGCUUUCAUCACCCUUUAAAAAAUGCCCCCCACUCAGAUUUUAAAUACUACCCAUAAUGACCAAACAUCCCAAAAUGCCUCCCAACUCUCAACCCUUUCCGAAGCCACUAUUUGCCAAUAUCAUAAAAUCGAUAACAGUUUAGAAUAACAAUGCUUUAAAGCAAUAUUUGAAAUCCUUUUUGGAUACUGUGCCGGGAUUACCCACUCGAACAUCCCCAUCAAGCCAACUAAUAUCCACCAUGAAGAGCCAAUAAUGCUUUUUUCUAAGUUAGAAGAGCAGUCCAUGGCGGCACCCUACAAACUCUCACUCAUCGGUAAUGUUUUCUUUCGGGCGAUCUAAAAUGCCAAUUAUUCGUCAAUGUUUUACAUUAUUGGGCUUGAAAGGAAAUGCUCAAGUCCUAUUACUCGAUUCGAGACAUAUCUUGGUUAAUCUCGAGCUUGAGGAAGAUUAUUCUCGCAUUUGGAUAAGACAAUCCUGGUAUAUUAGUGGUCGUGCAAUGUACAUAUUUAAAUUGACCACUAAUUUUUCGAUGUUCUAAGGAAUCUCUUAUUGUUUCAAUUUGGGCAUCCUUACAUUUUUUACCGAUACAUUAUAUCCAUUGAAAACUAGCUCUAAUCUUUAUUGCCAGUGCUAUUGGUAAGCUUUUAAGGGUAGAUCAUGCUACCGUUGCUGUCAUCAGGCCAUCAUCGGCACAAGUCCUAAUUAAGUACGGCAUCUCCCGACCUCUAAUUCCUCAAAUUUGGAUUGGGGUGGUUGAUUUUGGUUUCUAACAUAAGGUCAUUUUCGAGCGGAUCCAUGCCCAUUGUGCCUCAUACAAACACCUUGUCCAUUUCGCUGAAAAGUGCUUCCUUGCUAACCCUGGGCUUCAGAAACCCCAAUGGCAUAGUGGAGAAACUCAGGCCACAAGAGGUUGCAACUAGGCUUCUGUUGAUCAUGGUCAGAUUUCUGGCUGGACUUCCCCACUUAUUACUAGUAUUGCCCCUUUUGCUUAGGCUUUGGGUGUUCAGAAUUCAGUUUUUAAGCCUCGAGCUCAAGAUAAUUGUGGCUUAAAGGAUUCUGUUGCUCUGAGUGGUGAUACAUAGGAGUGUGUUGAUGACGUUAUCCCUCCUCCUUUUGUCUCAAAUGUUCUGGCAUAAAAGGCAUCCGCAUGCACUACAUUCUUCCAAAAUAUGAUAGAUGAUAUUCACACUGGGGUUGUGGGCUUCAAUUCCCACUCUAGGUUAAUACUUGUUCAACCUAGUGAGGAGAUUAGUGAUGAUCCCCACAUAGAUUUAUGUCAUAUUGUGAACUACAAUUCUCAUAAUGAUGAGGAUUUAAGUUUUGAUGGUCCAAUGGAUGAUGGAUAUUUGUUAUCAACUCUUGAGGAUAGUAGAAGACCCUAGUCUAGAUUUUAGUGUUGAUGGCCAACAAUCAAGGAAGGGCACCAAACCAAUUACUGGCCGUAAGUAUCAUAAAAAAUAAUAUGGCCAAAUGCAUUAGUCUGUUAUUAUGUUUACAUUUGUUAGGCUUUGCUUUAAAUCUUUUUUUGUAUUGUUUUUUAGUUUAAAGGUUUUAGUCUAUGUCUCUCUAUAUAUAUUUUAUCUUUAUCGGAUUUAUAUGACAAAUAUGAGUCCAGUCUAACCCCCAACUUUUUGGUGGUUUAAAAUAAAAAAAAAAGAAUGUGGAAAUAUAAUUUGCUAUGUUACUCUAAGGCCUAUGAGAGAUUCAAAGAGGAACUUCAAUUUUGAAAAAAAAAAUGAUUUUUAAAUUUUUUUUUCUUUUUUGGGUGUUUGGCAAGCGCUAAGUCUAGGGGUGGGACUUUCGGUUUACAAUUCAGUUUUUCUGAUUUUCGGUUUAAUUUACAACCCGUUUGGGUUAAAAAAUUAUUUCGGUUCGGUUUGAAAUUUGGUUCGGUUCGGGUCGGAUUCGUAAUUCGGUUCGGUUUCGGGUUGUGAAUUUUGGGUUGCAAAUCGGUUUGGGUUAUUAAUUCGGUUCCGGUUAAUAAAUCGGGUCAAACUAAUAUUAGCCAAAAAUAAUCAAAUUAAAUAGCAAAAUAAGCAAAUCAAAUAACAAAAUAAGCAAAUGAUGAAAAUAUUCAACAAAUGAUGAAAUUUUCAGUUCAUCAAAACUCCAAAUUGAAAAUACUCUACUACAAUAAAGAAAGUAACUUCCUAAUUCCAAUUCCAAUUCCAAUUCCCAAGUCAUGAGGUUAAUCCAAAUAAAUAAAAACAACCAUCAAACUAUUGAAUUAAAGUAAAACCAUCUCUAUUUCUCCAUCAACAAACAGAAAAUGAUGAAGCAAAUCAGUCCAUUCUGCAAAAAAAAAAAAAAAAACAAACCAGUUAAUUUCUCCAUCAACAAAUAGAAAAACAAAAUAUCAUAGUAAAAAAAAUUUUGUUCUAGAACAUACAAUUGAUGUUAAUUUGCAAGUAGUGGCUGAGAAUAUUUAAACAAGAAGCCAAAAAGCAAAAAGAUGAUAAUCAAGAGAUUGACAUCUACAUAUUACAGCCUUUUUAUUUGCUUGUGGGCAUCGAGCAAAUUAAUACAAAGAGAAGGUUUUAAAACAAGGGAUGACCAGUCGAUUCAUGAUCACCAUGCACCAUAAAGCCAACAUCACUACCAUAACCACCUAUGAUUAUGAUCUCAAGUUUUAGUGCUUUUGGAAAGUGUGUGUGGAUGUGGGUCAAACAACACAGUACACAACAAUGCAAGAAAAUGCAGCCAAGCAAAAUUUAUAAUUGACUUACCUAGCGAAACGAGUGAACAAUGAGCUGCGACAACGUGGUUGUAGGCGAUUUGCUAUGCUGGCGAGUGAUGACGGUAGGCUAAUGGCAAAGGAGUGGUCGUGACUUGUGUGAGAGAGCCGAGACAAAAUGUUACGACAUUUUCCCUUAAGAUUGAUUUGCCUUUAUUCUAGCUAGUUGUUUUCUUAUUUAAUUGUUUCCUUUAUUAGCUUAUUUUCUUGUUUUCUCUGUAUAAGAAGAACUCGAUUGGGGCGUUAAUUUUUUUUAUCAGAAAAAAGAUAAUAAAACUUCAAGAGUUUUGUUUUUUUGGCUCUACCUCUUUAAUCUUAAGAUUUGGUAUUAGAGCUCGAUUUUGGCACCAAUAUGGCUGACAGAACGAAAGCACAAGAGUAAAAGCGUGUGGAUGAGUCUCUAAAGCAGUUGCGGGAGACCUCAGAAAAACACGGCCUUUUUUUAUUGGAUUUUUCUAAGAUGAUGGCUGCUAUAAGCCUAAAACUUCAUCAAUCCACAACAACGAAGACAUGAGAUUCCAACAAUGGGGGAAGUACUUCAACCAAUAGGGGUUUGAAUAAUAAUCAUACUAGUAAGAAUUCCAUUCAAACUCGAUUUUCCAAACUAAAUUUUCCCAAAUUCUAGGGUGAAAAUCUUAGUGGGUGGAUUUACAAGUUUCACUAUUUUUUCAACAUCAAUGGAAUUGUUAAAAAAGAGAAAAUAGAGAAGGCGUCGAUCGAUUUGGAGGGACAUGCAUUUGAAUGGUUUCAGGGGUAUGAAGCUGGCCAUGAGAAUAUCAACUGGGAGAGUUUUUCUACAAAUGUAGUUGCUCGUUUUGGUCCUAGUGCUUAUGAUAGUCCAGUUGGGUAAUUAACCAAGUUGAAGCAAACUAUUGUAGUGAAAGCCUAUCAAGAACAAUUUGAGGCAUUGAUGGCUAAAACGAAAGGGUUGCCAGAGGAUUUCUUUGUUCAAUGUUUCAUUAGUGGCUUGAAUGAUUCCAUUAAGAACCAAGUCACCAUGUUUCAACUGAACACUCUGACCUAAGCCAUUGGUUUAGCCUUGCUAUAAGAAUGAGCUAUGGAAGCAAUUCAUAAGGAGGCUAAAGGGGUUAACAAAGGUGGGGUGAGUACAAUGAAUUCUUUUGUACCGAAAAAGUCAGACAAUAGCUGAUUACCACCUGUGAAACGGAUUUCUGCAGCAGAGAUGCAAGAGACGAGAGAAAAAAAAAAGCUUUGUUAUUAUCGUGAUGAGAAGUAUGAGCAUGGUCAUGUUUGCAAACAUAAACAUAUUUAUCUAUUAUAAGGCGAAGAUAGCGAGGGUGAAGAGCCAAAUGAGGUUGACAAAGUGGAAGGAAAAGAAGAAUCUCAAGUUUUAUUUAUUGCCGUAUCUAGGUCUAGCACUCACCAAACUAUAAGAAUUUAUGGGAGCAUAAAAAAGAAAGCUAUCACCAUACUCAUUGAUUCUGGAAGUACUCACAACUUCCUUGACCCUACAGUUGCAAAAAGAACAGGCUGCAAAAUUCAACGUGUUAGUCUAAUGACUGUAGCAGUGGCAGAUGGAACCAAAAUAAUUAGUGAUGCUAUUUGCCGGCAAUUGAAGUGGAAUAUGCAAGAAGAGGAAUUCUGAGCUAAUUUAAGGCUCUACCAUUAGGAAGAUGCGAUAUGGUUCUUGAAAUACAAUGGCUUUUUGAAUUGGGACCUGUAUUAUGGGACUUCAAGGAAUUGACGAUGGAAUUUUCUAUUGGCGAUUGAAAUUUUGCACUGAAAGGUGAUACACCGGGCCCUACUAAAAUGGUUUCACCAAAGCACAUCCAGAGGGAACUUCAACAUAGUCUCAAGCAUCAGCAGCUCACAUUUUUUCUAUCUAAGUAGAAGAUGAGAAAGCAAAAAAGCAAACAAAGAACCAGAGGAUCUGGAGCAAGUAUUGCAUCAUUAUAGGAAGGUUUUUGAUGAGCCGAAAGGGGUUACCUCCUCAAAGGGAACAUGACCAUAAAAGCCCCCUUGAACCUGGAUCUACACCACCCAAUAUACGUCCAUAUAAGUAUCCUUAUGUGCAGAAAAGUGAGAUUGAAAAACUAGUACAGGAAAUGCUCGAAAAUGGCACAAUUCGGCACAAUGUGAGUCCUUUCUCUUCACUUGUGUUAUUGGUCAAGAAGAAAGAUGAAACUUUAAAAAUGUGCAUGGACUAUAGAGCCCUCAACAAAAUUACCAUAAAAGAUAUGUUUCCUAUUCUUGUCAUUGAUGAGUUGUUGGAUGAAUUAUAUGGAGUUACAUAUUUUUCUAAGCUUGAUCUCUAAUCUAGCUACCAUUAAAUCAAAGUGCAUUCUUCUUAUAUUCAUAAGACUGCUUUUAGGACCCAUGAGGGGCACUAUGAAUUUGUAGUCAUGCCUUUUGUGCUAACUAAUGCUCUAUCGACUUUUCAGAGCUUGAUGAAUGAGAUUUUUAAACCCUUUCUAAGGAAAUUUGUCCUAGUAUUUUUUUUUAUGAUAUCUUAAUUUACAGUAGUGAUUAGAAGGAACACUUAGAGCACUUGGAAUUGGUGUUUGGAAUAUUGACUCAGAACCAAUUAUUUGUUAAAAAAUCUGUGGUUUUGGUAAAAAGAAGAUUGAGUAUUUGGGGCAUGUAAUUUCAGAGGAAGGAGUUGCCACUAAUCCUGUAAAAAUUCAAAACAUGUUGCAAUGGCCUAAACCUAAGUCCCUCAAGUCUUUAAGGGGUUUUUUUAGGCUCACAGAUUAUUACCGGCGGUUCAUUAAAGAUAAUUUUCAUGUUGAAGAAAGAUAAUUUUUAGUGGACUCAAGCUGUAGAAGACGCCUUUAACCAGCUCAAACACAUCAUGUGUGCGGCACCAGUAUUGGCAAUGCCAGACUUCUAGAAAAAUUUUGUGAUUGAGUUUGAUGCGUCUGGAAAUGGGAUAGGAGCAGUAUUGCUGCAAGAGGGCAAACCCAUAGCUUACUUGAGCAAGGCUUUAGCAUCGAAAAUUUGGGUCUUUUGACAUACAAAAAAAAAAUAUUGCCUGCUGUCAUGGCAGUACAAAAAUGGAGGCCAUAUGUGGUAGGGAAGCACUUUAAGAUAAUCAUUGAUCAUCUCAGCCUAAAGUUCCUUUUAGAUCAAUGAGAUUCAACUCCGAUGCAACAUAAAUGGCUCACCAAAUUAGCUGGUUAUGACUAUGAAAUUGUCUACUGUAGUAGCAAAGAGAAUACAGCUGCAAAUGCCUUAUCAAGGGUGCAUGAGGAAAUGAAAGAACUAACUAUUAUGGCCUUGUCAUUUCCAAUAGCAAAUUGGUUGGGCGUGCUACAAGAUGAAUGGAAGAAAGAUGAGAAUAUACAAAAACUCAUCCAUGAGAUUCAAGUGGAUCAGAAUUUACACUCUAAAUUUACUUGGAUAGAUAAUCAGCUAAGAUACAAAGGAAAGUUGUGGCUAAAAGAUCAAUCUAAAAUAAAGAAGAUGAUAUUGCAAGAAGCUUAUGGUAAAGUAAAAGGUGGACAUUCGGGGGGUAAAGAAAACAUUAGAAAGAGUACGACGAGCUUUUUAUUAGAAGAAGAUGAGAAGACAAGUGUGUAAAUUUGUAGGUGAGUGUGACACAUGCUAGAGAAAUAAGGCUGAAACUAUAGCUUCUUUGGGACUUUUACAGCCGUUGUCAAUGCUAGAAUUGACUUGGUCUGACAUUUCCAUGGAUUUUAUAGAAGGCCUUCCGAAAUCUCUUGGUAAUGAGGUUAUCCUGGUGGUGGUUGAUAGACUAAGCAAAUAUGCUCACUCCUUGGCAUUAACACAGUAAAGGAUGUAGCUCAAGUGUUAUUAGAUAACAUUUAUAAGCUUCAUGGCCUACCAAAGACCAUAAUAAGCGAUCAAGAUCAAAUUUUCACAAGUCAAUUCUGGAAAAAUCUUUUCACUCUACAAGGUACUUGAUUACUUAUGAGCAUAUCUUAUCAUCUGAAGACAGAUAAUCAGACUUAAAUAGUUAAUAAGUGUUUGGAGCAAUACUUGAGGUGCAUGACUAGAGACAAGCCAAAGGAGUGGAGUAAAUGGUUGCCGCUUACUGAGUAGUGGUACAACACUUCAUUUCAUUUCUCUUCUAAGAUGACCCCAUUUGAGGUUGUCUACGGCAGGGAGCCUCCUACUUAUACUACUUACAUUCCCAGCAAGACUUUCGUAGCAUUUGUGGACCAAGAUUUAAGAGACAGAGACUCAAUGAUUCGCCUUCUCAAGGAGAACUUGCAUCAAGCUCAAAGAAAAAUGAAAAAAAAAUGGCGAAUAAGCAUUGGACAAAAAGGAAAUUCAAGGUAAAUGAUUGGGUUUAUCUUCGGCUGCAGCCUUUCAAACAAGCUUCUCUAGCUCUUUGGAUAGAUAACAAGUUGGCUCUUAAGUUCUACGAACCUUACAAGGUGCUUCAAAAGAUUGGACAGGUCGUCUACAAGCUAGAUAUUCCUUCACACUCCAAAAUCCAUCCAGUUUUUCACGUUUCUUACUUGAAGAAAAAAUUAGGAGCUGUUAAUGUUCAGCAGACAGAACUGCCUACAAUCCAAGAUGAUGAGAGGAUGCAGCUGGAGCCGCUAGCAUUGUUAGAGAGAUGUACGGUUAAGAGAAACAACAGGCUUGUAGUUCAAUGGUUGAUUCAUUGGACUAAUUCUUUUCUGAGGAUACUAUAUGGGAAGAUGCUUACAUUAUUCAGCAGAAAUUUCCAGAAUUUAAGCCUUGAGGACAAGGCUUCCUGAACAGAGGGGGAAAUGUUACAACAUUUUCCUUUUAAGAUUGAUUUGCCUUGAUUCUAGCUAGUUGUUUCCAUAUUUAGUUAUAUCAUUUAUUAGCUUAUUUUCUUGUUUUCUCUGUAUAAGAAGAACUCAAUUGGGGGGUUAAUUUUUUUUAUCAGAAAAAACUUAAUAAAACUUCAAGAGUUUUGUUUUUUUGGCUCUACCUCUUUGAUCUUAAGACGAAAUUGGACAGUGAAGACAUGAUGCGUGAGGUAGUGGUGUGUUGUCGUGGUGCAGCGACGUCGACGUGGAGCAGUAGAGAAACUACCGGCGGGGAUCGAUUUUGGUUAGGGUUUGGGAAUUGGGAUUUUGGAUAGGGUGUUGGAGUCGGGUUUGUGAGAACUGAGAAAUUCAAUUGGUUAUGAUGCAAUUGGAAAGAUAGAAAUGGUUAAACGGGUUUGGGAAUUGAGUUUUUGAAUUUUUUUUUUUGUCUGAGGAUAUAAUCCGUUCGGGUUUUAAGGUCAACCUGAACAGAACCGAAAACAAAAUAAAAUUUCGGAUUCAGUUUGGCUCAGGUCAACCCGAGCCGAACGCCCAUCCUUAGCGCUAACGCCGGAAAUUAGAUAAGGGGCUUGUCACUUCAUUAUUUAUUUGGGAAAAUUUUUCACUGCGAUGGUUGACUUCUUUUAACACUUCAAAGGUCCAUGUUUUGAGAAAAGCCUCGUAGACUUGCAGUGCAUUCCUCUUGCUCCUCCGGUGAUAAGUGCCACUUUGCUUUGCAGCCUAGCAACAUCAAAUUAGCAUGCAACAAUUGUAACAUCUAAUCAAUCUAGCUAGUUGAGAGUCAAGAUUCAAAACUAAAAUUUAAUGAAGGCUUAAGAUUUGACAAAUAGCUAGACACAUGAUAUUUGGAAGGAGUCGGCUAAGUUACGUUUAACGUAAUUUAUGCCACACACAGCAAGAUUAGCGGGUCCUACCACUGUGCACUAUUGCUGUGUAUAGCGUAAGUUACGUUAAACGUAACUAAGCCGGAGCCUAUUUGGAAUUGAUAAGAAUUUUGAGCAAAUUAUACUAACAUUCCUGCUGCAGCUGAGACAAUUGAAGCACUGCCCAUUACCAUGGCACGUAUGGCAACCAAAAAAUGAAGAUCAAUUACGGUGUCUUACAGAUCUAAAAGGAUGUUAUCACCCAGCAAACUUUAACUUCUCUUUGCAAAAAUUGAACUUGUUAUAGAUUGCAAUCUCCACUGAACCAGUACAACAUCUGUCUUAUAUCGACACCACUCCUUAUGGAUCACAUAUCACUUUGUUGUCAAGUAAUUGCUUCCCUGUUAUUAAAUUCUCGCCAUGUGUCUAUGAACAUUAUCAUGAUUUCUUGAAACGCCACACCCAACUUCAUAAUAAAAAGGGAACAGAAAAAAUAUAUUUUCGUAAUAACACCCAAGAUUUUAUCAUUCAUUCCAUAGAUUAGAUAUGAAAAAUUACUAGUCACGCAUAAAAAUUUUAAAUAAUAAAAAAUAAACUAAAUGACACCAAUCAGAUAGCGUAUUUUAUUUCGUGACAGACAUCAUUGGAAUAUAAAUUAUAUACCCCAACUAUAUAAAUAUUAACUGCAAGAUUGGGCGCACUUAAUCCAAACCAUAAAUAUUAUAUUAUUGUUGCAGAUAGAUAAUUGUCUGGUGAUGACCACGACAAAACCAAGUAAUAAUCGUUUUAAUCUUAAAUUUCUUUUUUUUUUUGGUGAAAAACUGGAAGUUAGUUUCAAUCAUCACUUUGAAGAAUGGUAAACCCCACAGUAUUUUAUAUGCCGCAUAUAUUAUGGAUGUUAAUCAGUUACGUAAUUAUCACCGGUUAGGUACCUAAAAAGUGUGCUUCCAUGCCUUAAAAAAUAAAUAUUUCGAUUAGUUUCAAUAGACUAAUUUAAACUAAUAAAUUAAACAUUUUUAGUUGCAUCAUUUUUUUCUUUUUGUUGGUUUAUAUCGAGUUCAAAACUAGAUUUCCUCGAUAAAUUCUUGUUUUGUUAAUUACCAUGAAUUCGUUAGAGACACAAUAUUACAUUCAAAUCCAAUCGUACGUUUAUUUCAUGAGGCACCCAACAAGCAACCCCUAUUGUCAAGUAAUAAGGCCAAAAAUAAAUAUUAAGAUUUUCUUAUGAUCUAACUCAUCUUCAAAAAAAAUAAAAUAUGUUAGUGAUUAAUAAUUAAUAAAUAAAUAAAAUAAAUAAAUUAAAAUUUAUUUAUAUAUUAUUUCUAAAAGACACGUAGUAUAAGAUUUUUAAAAACUCGAUCUUAAUCUUAUAAGUAAACAUCUACCGAAAAUAAUAGUAUUUUUCCUCAAUGAGUUGGUAGUUUAAAAGCUGGUUUUGACAAAAAGAUUCCAGCUUUAGGAGGUCCGUUUCUCACCGACCCACGAAGAGCUGUUUCAAGAAAAUACAACUAUCAAAUAUUGUUUCAAGGCUCUCUUCAACACACAGGCUGUCGCUUUCAAUAAAGAGGACGGCUCUGCCCACCAGAUCAAAAUCUUACAAGUUAAUACAGCGAUAUUAUAUAUAUAUAUUGGAAAAAAAAAUUUGGAAACCUAAAUUAAAGUCCAUAAUGGAUUUAUGACAUCAUAAAUUGACUUUUACAAUGUUAUAAAUUAAUGUACAACUGUUUCGGAUUUUAUUUUCGGAUAUAAAACACACACACACACAUAUCUAGUAAGGCUUCUAGUGUGUGCGUGUGUGUGUGGUGCUUUUCCAAUUGGAGAAUCCUAGAUUGGAAAAGCAUCGGGAUGCUAUUGGUUUGGCUGCACAAACCAACAUAUAUUUUUUUUAAAAAAAGAGAGGCCAUUGGAUUAAAAAAUCCAAUAGCCGAUAUAUAUAUAUAUAGUCCAUUUUUUUAGGAAUUUCUUCAUUUUUUUUAUGCGCACACAUUAUUAGGUUAUAUUGUUUAACAAAGUCCGUGCAUACAUGUUAUUAAACCAUAUGAUUUAACAAAAUAUUCAUGUAAAAAAAAUUAAGGACACCUAUAUAUUCAUUACUUUAUUAAGGUAAGGGAUAAACUAACAGAUAAAAAAAAAUACACUAAAAUGUAGUGUACUUUGUCCUAAAAUAUAUUAGAAUUUAUAUGUUUCAAUCUUUUAACUUAUUCUUUACUACAUUAAAGUAAGAAAACCCUUACUAGAUAACGAAAUAUAUAAAUACUCUAACUGUGAUGAAGUAGCAAAUGAUUAUAAGAAUUAUUGCAGUGUAACAUUUUACUACUUUUACUUUUUUAGAAAAAAUAAUAUUUUACAAAUUUUUCGUUAGCUCUAUUAGUCAAAUGCUAAUGUCGUGAUAAUCUGGCAAAUAUAUCUUUGUAUGAAAUCUAACCUAAAGUUAUGAAUCAACCCAAAAGUUUGAAAGUACCACAAUGCCCCUAAUUAAUACCCUAAUUUAUAGUUGUUAAUAACAUUUGAAAGUUAAAAAAUAAAAAUAAAAAAUUCAGAAAAUAAAAAAAUGAAAUUAUGUUUAAGUUUUUUUUUUUUUUUUUUACAUUUUCAAACUUUUAGGGCUCUUUUAGAAAUUACUAAAAAUCUAGCUUUUUAUUUUGGAGUUAUUGAUAGGGAAAUUUUAGUAUUUUAUAUGUCAACCGUAAUAACGGAAAUUAAAGUAAUAAAGCAUUGUUUUUGUAGUUAAGGUAGUAAACUGUUAUACUUUAAUAAUUCUUGUGGUGCUUUAUUAUUUCACUAUAGUUAAAGGGAUGAAAGAAUAAUAAUUUUAAAGUAGUGAAAGAAUAUUAAUCUUACAUAUAUUAAAUAGGGCUGGGUCAAGAAUUGAGUUUGAUUCAGUACAGAAUUGAACUAAAUAAAAAAUAACUAAAGUAAAGUAUGAACUGAGCUAAAUUGGUUUAUUAGUUUUUCAAAUGUAAGUAUAUUUUUAUUUUCUUACAUAAUUUAAUAAUUUUAUGACCAUGAAAUUAAUUUUGAUGCUCUUUUAUAUCAUACUACGUGGUAUUAUUUAUUCUAAAAAAUAAUUUAUUUUUCGGUUUAGUACCAAUACAAAAGUUUGAACUGAGAGCAUAACCGAAAAUUCGGUUCGAUUCUCAAUUAAUAUUUAUUGAUACUUCUGAAAAUGUAAAACCGACCAGAAAUUUAAAGAAAAAAAAAAAAGAGCCGAACUAAACUUUUUAUAGGAACCGGUUUGGUUCUGCCCACUCUCAAUGUUAUUAGAGGUUUGAAUGGGAACAGAGGCGAGGCUAUGUGUGGGAGGAUGAGCUGUGGCCCUUUUACACAAUGUUUUUAGCCUUUAGAUAAUUAGUAUAUCCUUAGCUAAAACUAGAGACUGAUGAGGACGUGGCUUUUCAUUGAUGAAACGCAUUAAACUUUUUUCCACAAACAUUUUUGCUUGGAUUAUUUUACUUGUUUUAUCUCUUUUAGAACAUUUUUUUUCCUUCAAGAAUGGUGUAAGAUUUUAUCGAAUAAAAUUUUUAGCACCUGUUAUAUAUAAUAAUUAAAGAAAAGAAUUAACAUUCGGACAUCAAUUCAACCUUAUGAUAAUGAUUUUAACGUAUUUCUUUUCACGUCAUAUUAUGGAGAGAGUUGAAACUUACUCCCCAUUAUGAAAAUCAACACAUUAUCAUCAUUAUCAAUUUAUCAUAAGCUUAAAUUGAUGUUUCAAUGUCUCAGGAUACAGUAUCCUAAGGUAGCAUACUUGGACUAAUACUGACUUACUCCCCACAUUCCUUAUUUCACAUGAGUUAUUCAUGGAAAUUUAAAAAAAAAAAUUUUAGACUCCCAAGACAACAAGUUAUAUGUAUAUAGAGAUUUCUUUAUUUUGUUUUAUUGCGUUACUUUGUCUUGAAUUUUAAUUUUAAUUUUUCUUAUUUUUCCCCUUGAUUUUCAAGUAAGUUUCAAACCUCCAUAAUAUGAGGUGAAAAUCAACACAUUAUCAUCAUUAUCAAUUUAUCAUAAGCUUAAAUCGAUGUUUCAAUGUCUCAGGAUACAGUAUCCUAAGGUAGCAUACUUGGACUAAUACUGACUUACUCCCCACGUUCCUUAUUUUACAUGAGUUAUUCAUGAAAAAAAAAAAAAAAAGUAAUUUUAGACUCCCAAGACAACAAAAGAAAAAUAGUUUCACUCUUGGAAGCCAACAUGGCUAAUAGAUUUUUACAACGGAAUUAUUUUCAUGUGCACCCCAUCUGGAAAACUUCACAGAAAAAAGUCAGGAUAACUUCAAUUACAGACUAAUUAUUUCAUAGACACAUAAAAUUAAUUUUGUAAUAUGAGAAUAUUAAAUUGAGGGAUAAAUUAAAAUAUAUUAAAAAAUAUAAAGUUUAGUAUAUUGUAAAAUAGAAUACAGUUUGGAACGUUUUUUUUUUAUCUUUUAUUUUGUUCUUUAUUUUAAUAAAAGAUUCCUUUUUAAAAAUUUAUUUUUAUUGACAUAUGAUAAUUGACAACUUAUGCUGGGGACCUGUAUUUUACUUAAUUUUCUUCUCAUGUUUAUCUUCCACCCCCCCCCCCCCCCCUCCCGGGAUAAAUCCUUCUCUUACUAUUUCGUUUCACAUUAUUUUCUCUUUCGUCCAAUAUUCCAUCAUGUUUCUAUUGUUAUUAUUAGAAAAUACAUUCAAAAUAAGAAAGGCGAUCCAUUGAGCAUGGUCUCUCUCCGCAAGGAGAAGAAUGGCCACAUGUCAAGCUCUCAAAAAAAGUGUUGUAAGAUCUAAAGCUCUGCUCUUUUCAUGAGACCUUGAUACAUGGGUGAGCGACCUAUCCACCAAAUUAGAUAUAUAUUUACGAACAGAACUCUACUUGCUUAUUUUUAACUAUUUAACUCUACUUGCCCAUUAUAAGUAUUUAAAAUAAUAUUAUUCAAUAAGGAGCCCUAUUUUCAAUCUGUGAUGUAAUGCAAUUUUGCGGUGAAUUUAGAAUCUUUUGCAUCUCUUGCAGAGGUUCUUUUCUUGUUACAGUAGGUGAUCAUUUUUUAUCUUAAAAAAAAAAGUGGUCAUUUUUUAACUUAAUAAUUAUUAUUUUAUUGAAUUAUGUGAUAUUAUUAUAUUAUUAGGAAUGACAUUAUGUUAUAGAUAAGCAUUGGGUUUUUUUUAAAUUAAUUUAUCAACUUUACUGAUUAUUUUAUUUGUUUUCUUUUUCCACAGACAUAAUUAAGGCACUUCAAUGAUACUCAACUUGUUCAGGCCAAGGGGUUGAGCAAGAAAUCUUGAUUUCAUGAUGAUAAUGCUUAUUUACCGGAAGUUGUGAGACAUGAUCGGAAGCCCAAGUUAGGCUAAGAAUUUGAAUCACUAGAUGAUGUGCUUGAACUUUUCAACAGUUGCAAAGGAUGCUUGAUUUAAUAUUAGAAUUUAUUCCAGUAAACAAGAUUAAAAUACAAAAGAAAUUGUAGAGGAGGAGUAUGUGUGGUUCAAAGAAGGAACAUCAUCCAAAAGAGAUAUUUAUGCAUCAUCAUCAUCAUAAUAAUAAUAAGCAAACGACAAUUCACAUGAACAUUCUUCCUCAAAACAACAUGUCAAUCAAAUAAAUAGUUUAUAUUCAGCAACAGUGAAUAUGCAUCUGAUAUAGUACCAUCUUUAAAAGCAGCUUUUACUAAAUAUUUAAGUUAUACUUAUAGUGAAAAGUAAUUACUUAGCUAAUACAUACACAAAUAUACCAUAAAUAAUUUAGAAUUAGCAUUAAUUAAAAAAAAGUUUUACAUUAUCAUUGUUUUUACACUAUAAUUAAGAUAUAUAUUACAACACACACACACAUAACAUUGUCAUUGUUUUUACACUAUAAUUAAGGUAUAUAUUACAACACACACAUAUAUAUAAUUUCACACAUAGAAAUUUAAUUGUAAUUUCAAAAUAUGGAAUCAUAAAUUGCUAGUAGUGAAAAAAUAAAUAAGAUAAUAUGUGUAUGGCUGCCCAAUUAAGCAAAGAAGAGUUUAAUUCAACCUAUGCCGCAACAUUAAGUAGAGGUCAGGAAAGAAUCACCCUUUGUUGAAAACAAAAGGGCAAUUUGGUGUCUCAAAAAAGAAGCAACAACAUGAACAUUUCAUUGUUCUAAUCCAGGAACUGUACAACUUGAGUUUUUCAUGAGCUAUAAAUACCAAAAAAUAUCUCCCAAGUAAAACUGCAACAACAAAAAUAAUUAAUUAAACAAAACUAACUAAGACUCUCUAGAGAGAUGGUGAGUCCUGGAAUUGCAAGCAAUUCAACAAGAGAAUAUGCUGCAACAGAGACAGAGCAGAAACAAUGGAGAUGGAGCAGGAGCAGCGGCAGCAGAGAUGGAGCAACAAUCGUUUUUGGGGACGGAGAGAGAGAGAGCUGUGAUGGUGAAUUGUGGUUGAAGAACAAGAGUAUAGUCACGAAAAGAGAGAGGGGGAGUUAUGAGUUUAGAUCGAGAUUAAGAGACAAGAUUUUAGGAGAAAGAAGAUCAAUUGCUUGGAUUUUGCUUUAUAAUUUAUUUUAGAAUUUAGUUUGCAAUUCAUUGAAAAUGUGUUAAAUAUAUUCUUCAAUUUUAUAACAAUAAGAAAAAAUCUAAAUUAUUUGUUUUUUAAUCCAUCAACUAAACAUGUAUUACAUGUAUAGUUUCAAAAUGAAAAUGAAAAUAAAGCCCUAAAAAUGGUACCGAAGAAGUCAUAAUUUUCCUCACCCAUAAAAUCGGAAAGUCCGUUUUGUGACCGCAUCAUCUACUCGCCUCGUUUUAUUAAGAUUUCGUGCAACUACAACUCGAUAUCAUGAUCUCCAAUAAUGGAAAGUGUUAUCAUAGAAUUUGAAUUCUCGGCAAGUAAUUCAAAUUUUGGCAUUUGUGUGAGUUGAAAAGUACUAAUUAUCCAAUCUACACGAAAUAAGUUUCAUAGUAAAAAGCAGUAAAAUCGAAGCUCAAUUACGAAUUAUUAGGAUCAAAACAUGCAAGCUUCCGAAAAUACACUCAUUCAGAUUUCCCAAACACAGAAAACCCUGCAUUGACAAUAGCAAAUCCUCCAUCUACGACCAAAUUAUGCCCACUCACACACUUAGACUCAUCACUCCCCAAAUAAAGAGCAGCUUCAGCUGCAUCCUCAGGCUCAAGAACAGCCCCCUUAAGAUUUGAAUACAUGCCGCCCAAACCAUCAUCAGCAAGCUUGAGAAAAUCCUUAGCUAAUGGAGUUGAGACCGCAUAAGGUGACACACAAUUGACCCUAAUGCCAAAUCGUCCAAGCUCCACAGCAGUAUUCUUCAUCAGCCCCAAAAGGCCAUGCUUUGAACUAGUGUAUGCAUGUGUUGCAGCGCCACCAAUGAUUCCGCAAACGCUCGCAGUUGAAAUUAUGCUGCCUCGUCCGGCGGGUUUCAUCACCCUAGCAGCAUGUUUCGUCCCAAAAAUGCGCCAACGAGGUUAAUGGAAAGUAUGCGCUCAAAUUCAGCCUGAUCGUUAUCGAGUAUGUUAGGUUUGGCUUCAUCCACAGUGCCGGCGUUAUUGAACAUAAUGUCUAGCUUUCCGUACUGAGAGACUGCCGUGUUAACGGCGUUUUCGAUAUCUUUCUCUUUGGUUACAUCACAAUGGACAUAGGAGCAGCCGUUGGCUGAUGAUGAUGAAGAGCCUAUGUCUUUGCAUAUAGAUUCGCCCAAGUCAUCUUUAAUAUCUGCAAUGAGUACUUUAGCCCCAUGUUUUGAGAAGAGCCUUGCAAUGCAUUCCCCAAUGCCUCUUGCUCCUCCGGUGAUAAGUGCCACUUUGCCUUGUAGCCUACGCAACAUCAAAUUAGCAUGCACAAUUGUAACAUCUAAUCAAUCUAGUUAGCUGAGAGUCAAGAUUCGAAACUAAAACUUAAUUAAGGCAUAAGCUUUGAACAAUAGCUAGGCAAAUGAUAUUUGGAACUGGUAAGAGUUUUCAGCAAUUUGAACUAACCUUCUUGCUGCCGCUGAGACAACUGAAGCACUGCCCAUUCUUAUAGCACGCACAGCAACCAAAAAAUGAAGGUAAGUUAUGGUGUCUUGCGGAUCCAAAAGGAUGUUGUUCCCUUUAAAUAUAUCUCAAGCCCCUUCUAAAAUAGACAUUACAAAGAAUUUGACCACAUUUAAAUUAAAUAAAAUGUUUAUUGUUUGGUAAUAAGAAUUUUAUUUAUGAUUUUUAAAACCUCAGUUCAAAUCUCACCACACAAAAAAAAAAAGGUAAACGAACAAUAUGAAAAGGUCAAUUUCCUUUAAAUUGAAUUAAGUUUUUUCAACCAAGUCCCGCUAAUCGAACUGGCUGGGUCUGCCGCUAGUUAUUACCCUGCAAGUUUUAUCUCCUGUUUCUGAAAUUUGAACUUGUUAUGGAUUUCAAUCUCCUCCGAACCAGUGCAACAUCUAUCUUAUGUCUACACCACUCCUUAUGGAUCACGCGUCACUUUGCUUCUAUUCAAUGCCAAAACGUUGUACGUGCAAGACAGGAACGUGGGUUAUUGCUUCCUUUUAUUAAAUUAAUAAAUUCUCGCCACUUGCCCAUGGACAUUAUCAUGAUGGAGCCGGCUAAGUUACGUUUAACGUAACUUAGACGGAGCCUAUCAUGAUUUAUUGAAAAGUAGAAAAGUCUCGCCUCUAGAUUAUUAGUAUAUCCGUAGUUAAAACAAGACGUAAAAGUUGGCGUGGGUUUUCAUUAAUGAAACGCAUUAAUUUUUUUCUACAAACAUUUUUGUUUGGGUAAUUUUACUUGUAUUAUCUCUUUUAAAACAUUUUUCCCCCUCAAAUUAUAGUGUAAAAUUUUAUCGUUUAAAAUGUUUAGCACAUGUUAUGUAUAAUAAUUAAAGAAAAGAAUUAGCUUUCGGACAUCAAUUCAACCUUGCUAUAUUGAUUUUAUGAUGCGUUUGACACAUUGUAUUGCAUUAUUUUAAUGCAGGUGUAUUGUAUUAUAUUAUAUUGCACUAGUACUGUAUUAAAAUAAUGUUGUACAAUAUUUGGUGCUACAUUGUACUGUAUUAAUUCUCAAUUAUAUUAUAUUUGGUACUGCACUGUAUUGUAUUUUAAUUUUUUUGUGAUUAAUUUAAAUUAUAUAUUUAGAGAAUAAUAUUUAUUAGUACUAAAAAAAUUAAAUAGAAAAGUCUUAAAAUUUAGAAAUUUAACAUUUUUAUUAAAAAAUGUUAAAAUAUCAAAUUCUUCCAAAGCUUAUAGCCUUAAAUUUUAGGAAGUGUAAUUUUCAGUAUUUUCUAAAUAUAUAACCUGUGAAAUAAAGAUCAAAGUAAAUAAUUUAAUCAAAAAAUCUCAAAAUAAUUUAACAACAUAAAUAAAUAGUUAAAAUCUUCAAGAUCAAUUCAAAAAUCAUCUUAGGAUGAUAGAAUAAAAUAUCACAAGAUAAUUACAAAAUAAUCAAGUGAUACAAUUAUUAUAACAUUUUCACUAAAAAAAAUGAAUUGUGCUCAAUAAUCCAGUAAUUAUUUAUAUUAUUAAUUUUCAAUUAAUAUUAUUCAAAUUUAUUUAAAUAUUCAUUAUUAGUUAUAUUAGCUUAUUAAAGAUUAAUCAAUUUUACAUAUUAAUUAAGCUAAUAUAAUAUAAUUAAAAUAUAAUAUAAUAUUACUAAAUAAUAAAUAAUAAAAUUUAUUAACUUAUAUUAAAAGUAUAAUGUAAAAAUAAAUAAUAUAAUAUAACAUUCAAUUAAAAAUUAUAUUUAUUUAUUAUUAUUAUAAAGUAAAAAAAAAAAAAGAUUAGCUACUUCCGCAUUAGGGUGCAUCUAAUGCAGCAAUUUGGUGCCGCAAACAUGGGGCUGCAUUGCAUUUAAUGAGGGGUACCAAACACCCCCUUAAUAUAUUCCUUUUCAUGUCAUAUCAUAGAGAGACUUGAAACUUAUUUUAAGAUAACAAAAAUUCUAUCCUUUUUUUCCCCAGCAAGUUAUAUGUAUAUAGAGAUUUCUUUGUUUUGGUUUAUUCCGUUAUUUGUUUUGAAUUUGAAUUUUGAUUUUUUCUUGUUAUUCCUUCUUGAUUUUCACAUAAGUUUCAAACCUCCAUAUUAUGAUGCAAAAAUAAACACAUUAACAUCAUUAUGAAUUUAUCAUAAGCUUGAAUCAUUAUGAGUAUCUCAGGGUACAAUACCCUAAGGUAGCUUGAAUCAAAAUAUAAUCAAUAAGAAGUUGCUUUUGUGCAAUGUGAUCCUUAACAAAAUAAAGGUUUAAUUCAAUAUGUUUAGUGCGUGAAUCAUAUUUUGGAUUACUAGUUGUUGGGUAUAAAUUCAAAUGCUAUUAGUGUUAAUGUGCAAGUGUACACAACAAGUAAUAUAAUGAUAAGUAUUCAAGAUUGUCUCCACAGGGAUUGAUGUUAUCAGACUUGCUACAGUAAUUUUAACAGUGCAGAUUUUGUUCUAAAUUAAAAUAAAAUAAUUAAUGAAACUAAUAUACUAAUUAAAAUAAAAACGCAAUAAAUAAAAUGCAACAAAGUAAAUUAUCACGUCAAACUCAAAGAUAAAACCAAUGGGAAUAUAGAGUAGUUGAGUGAAUAAACUUUAUUAAUGGUUUUGACUAUUUUCUAAUGGUUGGCUCGGUUGCUACAGCAUUUGCUAUAGCACUGGGUAGAAUCCUUAUGUAUCCUCAGCCAUCGCAUGUUGGAUAUCCUAUAUCUAUAUACAACCUAACAGUGAUAAGUUGUUAUGCCAACAUAAUAUAUAGCAUUACAUGCUUAGGUUCUAUUUACCCUACAAGGUGAAUCCCUAUGUCUAGUUCAUCACUAAUUUUAGAUUAAGCAUGGCCAUUUUGGGAUAAGUUAAACUCAAUCCAGGAAACACAAUUUAAAACCAAGUAUUACUCUUAUAUGUUCCACUAAGAUAGGUCAUUUUGUGGCUCUCUCCUAAUUUGUAUCAUUAAAUGGGUGAUCAGCCGAAAUAAUAAAUAAAAAUAAAUGCUAUCAAAACAAAAUAUUACAACAAACAUGCAGCAACUCAUAUUUUCAGUCAAUAAACCAUUAAGAUUGUUUAUCACUCAACACAAAAAUUUAGUUCAUGAUUUACAAAAGAAAAAUAAAGAAUAAAGUUUCAGCAAUGAAACACAUCCCCAUGAAUAAAUAGAAAACACGAAAAUAAGAGAAGGAUAAGAAGGAUUGAGCUCCCAAUUGAUCUGUGCAAUUUUUCCUCUUGUGCAGCCCUUAAUCUCUCUCUUGAAUCUUGUUUUUCUUUUGUUUCUUUGUGUUUUUCUUCUUGGGUGACAGCUCUCCCUAUUCCUUAUGAUGUGUGCUUCUUUUAUAACUGAAAAUUAGAGUAAACGGAAGCCUAGGGCGCGCAUAAGUCAGAUUAGGAAACUGCAGAUCGCAAUUCUGUAAGUAUCCCGCGCGGAAUUUUCUCUGUCGUUGUUCCAGGAUUGCUAUAGCAAUGGUUGCUAUAGCAACGGCUACAGCAACUGUACUGUUCCAUAUUUAUUUCAAUUCUUUUGUAGCCAAGUUCUUUUCCAUCUUUUGCAAGCCUAUUGCAUCAGCAUUCCUUCCUUGAAAUUUGAACUUCCGGACAUCUAUAAUUAUGCAUAUGAUUUAAGCACACAAAUUAUUCUAAAACAAUGCAAUUUAUAAAAAAUAAACUAAAUAGUUAUUCAUGCAAAAUAAAACUAAAAUGCAAUAAAAAUAUGUCAUUUACUCUCAAAGUAUUAUUGAUUUAAGUCUAAAAGUGACAUGAUAACUCUCAUUCCAUAGAGUUAUCACUAACCAAAGUCUUAACACUCUGAUUAUCUCAAUAUAGAACUGAAACUUGAGAAAGAGAGAUCUUAAGCUCUUUUAAUAGAUAAUAACCCAUAGAAUCUUUGAGAUAGUUAAGGCUGAAGCAUGACAUUCAGAUUAAGUUGAAGAUCUUGAUGCAAUGUACUAUUUUUUAGACCAAAAAAUAUGAUUGCUACCUAAAAAUACACAAUAACCAUCAAUGGACCUACGAUCAUCAAGAUCUGAAUCCCACUCUUCAUCAGAAUAUGCAGUUAAGUUUAAAGAACCUAAAUGAAAAAAAAAAAUUAGAGGCCAAAAUUUGCAAUGCAUUGAAGGUAUCUUAAAACUCUUUUGUAAGUAUUGUUUAAAUUUUAUUGUUGGAAGGUAUGCUUAUUGCUAUAGGUGUCAAUGUACAAGUUUACACAACAAAUAAUAUACUGAUAAGUAUUCAAAUUGUCUUCACAUGGAUUAAUGUUAUAGGAUUUACUACAGUAAACUUAACAGUGCAAAUUCAAUCUAAAUUAAAAUAAGAUAAUUAAUGAAACUAAUGAAUUAACUAAAUUAAAUGUACAAACAACAUAAUGCAAUAAGAAAAAUCUUGCUGAACAUUAUUGGUGAGAUGAUGAGUUGUUUCAUUGUCCAAAUAUCAUCCUUGAUCCGUAACUCCCUUUGAGGUAACCAUAUAUGCAGCUCUAGAAGCUUAGUUCUGAUUAAGAAAGUUACCUUGGACUGAAGGACUUAGAAUAAAGUUCCUAUUGAACCUGUCCUUACAUUCAGCUGCAUAAUGAUUAUGCUUAAAGUAAAUUUGAUAUGUGAUAAUUCCUCUGCCACCUCCUCUUUCAAAGCCAAAAAGACCACUAAUAAAGGCAAAUUGUUAAAUGUUAGUCUAAAGGACUACACAUAGUGUAAUUUGAUGAGAACAAACAUGCAUUUUAAAUGAUAUGAUACACAUUGUAUUUCACAUUUUCACUAGUUUUUUAAGGAUAAUAUUUAUGCAAGUAAAUCAAUUGAAAUCAAGCUCAAGAAAUUCAACAGACAGUGGCUUGAUCAAGAACAAAGUUUAGCUCGACGAAGUCAUUAUUGCGCCAAAUUAAAGCUAGCAUGAUUUAAUAUAUGCAUGCUUUAGCAUUUGAGGAGCUCAAGAUUUUGUUUAAUAAAUUAUUACUUUUCAUAAACUAAAAGGUUUUAUGUUUACAAGACAAGUAUUUUGUGGAUUUGAGUGUUUUUCAAAUUUUGGAUUAAAUUAAAAAAGUUUUGAAAUCAAUAAGCAUUAUGAAAAGAAUCUUUUUAAAAAGUAUUAUAAAGUUUGGGCCAUAUGAUAAUUUUUAAAAGUUUUGGGAAUAACGAGUAUUAUUUACAAAUUAUGAAUUUAGACCCAUUUGUAAAAAUGUAAAAUAUUUGAGGACAUAGAAUAAUUUGUAAAACUUUUAGACCAUAUUUUAAGUUUUAAAAGUGUUGGGGCCAAAAAGUAAAUAUUAAAAAUAUGGUGGGAAGACAAAGAGUUAAAGGCUAGCCGCCUGAGGUAAAUUUUAAAUUUUCAAAGCCAAAAUUUACAACGAUAACUUGCACUGUACUAAGCGGUGAUCUGGCUUAUUAAGAGGCUAGCCGGUUACUUGUUGUUUUUGUUCAUAACGGCUAGUUUUUGUGUCCAAAUUCAAUUUUAAGAAUUAUUGCUAGCAAGAACAAGAGCAUACAUCAUAUUUUAAGCUUUCGUUUCGCAAAUCAUCAUAUAUAGGAUCUUCAUUGUGUUAUCAUUUGUAUAUCUACUCUAAAAGAGAUUUAUUUGUUGUAAUUUUCAUUUCUUUAUCAAAUUUGUGAGAGUUUGAGUGUGAGAAACACUUGGGCUGAGAGAUUGUGUGAUAAUCUCUUAUUGUAAAGGUCUAUUGACUCCUUCAAAGUCAAUUGUAAAAACUUGGGACAUUUGGAUAGUGAAAUCCUCAAGUUUAAUUUGCUUAGAGGUGUGGACGUAGGCGAGAAUUUCCAAACCACAUAAAAAAUUUUUGUAUUUGCUCUCUCUUCCUUUACUUUUUUUUAUUUUUUGGCAUUGUUAAAUUUAUUGUUUUUUAUUUCAUUAAGGCAGUAAAUUAAAUAGUUGUGUGGUUUGCUUAAUUUAAGUUUUAAAAAGUCAAUUCAUCCCCCUCUUGGGUUGCAUAACUAGUAUUUCAUUAAAAUCACUAGCGAAGCCACCAUUUUUAUUAUUGAAGCCACCAAAAAAGCUAGAAAAUCCACCUCUGUCCUGAUUAUCAUUCGAUCCUCUUCUAGAAUAUCUCUCUUUCUUAUCCAUAACAUCCUCUGUUAUUGUAAUUACUAUUCCAGUUACAAUUUCCACUCUUGUUUCCAUAAUUUCUAUUCUAGUUGCCUUGAUUAUUACUAUUUUAACCAUCAUUAUUUCCAGUCUUAUGAUUUUUUUUCCAACUUGGUCUAUGCUAGCUAUAUAAUUCAACUUAAUUUAUUUACCGGCAUUAGACUAAGCAGGUUUUUAUCUAGCUUCAUGAGUUCAACAGCAUGGAAUAAGCCUCAUUAAUGCUCACCUUAAGAACAUUAGCCCCAACAUAAACCACAACAAGAUAAUAUAGUUUAUCUAAACCACAAACUAAGCAUGUAAAUCCAAAGAACUAAUUGGACUACUUGUAACAACUAAUUUAUCAGUCAUUGAUCUCAGUUUGCUAAAGUAAUCGGUAAUUGACAUGGAUCUUUUUCUUGAGAUUAUUCAAUAUCAUCUUUAAAUGAACUUUCAUAAUAAUAGUUUUAUAUCCAAAUUGUUGUUCUAAGCUAGUCUAAAGUUCAUAAAAUGUUUUAGAAGUCAUUGCAUGACUAAAGAUCUCAACAUUGAUCGAAGACAAGAGCCAGCUCGGUAACAUUUUAUCUUGUUUCUUCUAAACACCAUAUACAGGAUUUUCUUGUGCACUGGCAUCAGAAUUUGUGAAUCACUAGUGAGAAACUGAUUUGGACAAAGUCAUGAUCCAUCAAGAAGACUUUCAAGCUCAUUAGCACAAACUGAAAUGUAAAUGAUGAAACUGAUGAUGAGAUGUUUGUAGUUAAACUUGAGGAAGCCAUGAGAGUGUUUGAUCUAUAACUUUAAUACCAAAGCAAGGUUUAAUUUGUAGACUUGCAUUGUUUGGUUAUUAACAAAAUGAAAAGAAAACUAAGAUUUGAAAGAGAAAAUUGACAAAGGCAAGAAAUCAUUUCUACAGUAGUAAAUGUGAUUGCAAGAUCUGCUUAUAUGCAAAUGUCCAGAACUUUCUACACACAUCUAAUGCAUGUGCUAAGUUUAAGCAAAAUAGUAACUAACUAAUUAACAAAAUAACAUAAUGUGAAUACUGCUACACCUAUAACAACCUUGCUGAUCAGCCAAGUCAUCUAAGUGUUGGUAAUUAACUAACAUAACUAACUCUCUAAACGUAUAUUCUCAACACCAAGGACUUAAUUAACUAACAUAACUAACUCUCUGAACGUCUAUUCUCAACACCAAGGACUGGUUCGAUAGGGAAGGUUGUAAGGCAAAGCUUGGAAUGGUGAGAACAAAAUCGUAAAAUCAUAUUGUCAGCUUGUUUAUGGAGGAGUCACAGCCAUCCAUUAAUCACCGUAACUUUCAGCUACAAAUGUUCCAACUCAUCUUUAAAUAAAUAUCCUCGAAUUGCAGGCUGGGGCAUGUAUUUUCAAUCAGAGCAAGAAAAGAAUAUGGCAUUUACUUAUGCCAUAAAUACAGAUAAAUAAGAUCGAAUUAUUAAUAUAAUUUUUAGGCAAAUGCAACAUCUAGCUGGGCAGGUAUAUAAUUUUUAUGGCGAUGUGAUUGUAUUUGACACUACUUACACAUGAACUAUUAUAGCAUGAGUUUUGAACCGUUAUGGUCAAGCAAUUAUAUUCGCUUGUUUGUUCUGAUUAAGUGAUGAGACCACUUAAUUAUAGUUUAAGAAAAGAUGUUAGGAAAUUUUAAUCCCACUCAAGAUCUUGCAAGUAAAAAUAUUAAAAAAGUAAUAAGCAGAAAAUAAAUGAUGAAUAAAAAAAAAUUAAACAGUAUAAGAAUUUACGUGGAAAACUCCUAUUGAGAAAAAUAACGGCCACCAAAGACAACAAGAAAAAACUCAUUAUGUCAAAAAUUAUUUCACUUAGCCUUGGAAAAGUCCGGCCCAAGCCCACAUUUUUUAAAACAAGCCAGACCCUUCAAAAGCACGGCUUGGGCCAAGCCGGGCUUCAGUUGGGCCUGAGCUUUUUUCACUAAUUAUAAAAUGUUUGAAUUAAAUAUAAUCAUCCAAUACAUAAUAAAAUAAUAGUAAAAUACAAAAAAUAUUAGUAAUACAAUAUAAUAAAUCACAAAUACUAAUAUAAAAUACCAUAUUAAUUUAAUAUUUUGAGUUUUUUUUAUUUAAAUUUAAUUUAUUUUUAUUUAUAAAUUAAAAAGGCCAGGGCUUUUUUCAUAGGCCCUUAUCUAAGUCCAAUCUAUCCCGGCUUUACAUUUUUCAUCCCAUAUUCAAACCCAACCAAUGAGGACCGGGCUUCAAACCCGCAGGCCUAAGUUGGGACUUGGGGGUGGGCCCAAUCUUUUUUUCCAACCCCGCAAUCACUAUAGUAUUUUUUCCUUAUACCCAAAAUCCCAAUAACAUUCAAUUUCUCAAUAGACCUAUCGUUUCUUUCACAUUAAAAAUUAUCUACUUACAUAUAACUAAUUGUUUUAUUAUACAAACAAGUGAAUCCAAAAUCGUUAUAUAUAGUGAUUAUUCUUAUACGAGAAGUAUUUUUUUCCUUAUAAUAAUUGUGUUCCUCCUUGAAUAAGUUAAGUCCUAAAAGGAAAAUUACUUAUUUCUUAAAUAUGAAUCCUCUUAAAUAAGAAAACUAUUAAAUAAGAAAAGGUUAAGAAAUAUCCUAAUUUAGGAUUUACAAAUCUCCAUUGAAAAAUGUGACAUGUUUCCUAACAAUGCCAAAAAUAGACCACGGGGAAAGCCGCGCCAAAAAAUAACCGCCCGAAGGCCGGGGCGCCAAGUUCGUCCACCGGAAAAAGGCCACCAAAACCAGACUCACAUAGGGCUUAUGAGAAUCACUCCAUUAUGGGUAAAAUCUUAUCCUCUAUCUAGUAGCUAUAAGUCUCUACAUUGAGAAUCAUCGUACUCCACCUUAUAUAAAGUACACAAAUUUGGCACAUGUCGAUCACCUUGCGAAAAAUAGCCACUCUCAUGUUUGGCUUCCUUGAGAGUCCUUAGCCAUCAAUAUAAAAAAUUCCACCGCACACCUCGCAUAAAUGUCAAACCAUGCCUUGUGUGCCAAUCUUGUGGACAGGUUAGCAGCAACACUUCCUCUUCCAUGACAUGCCAAAAAGAUAAAGCAAUCUCCAUAGAGAAAAGAGACACACCAAUACCUAACAUUUCUAGUAUCUCUAUCUUCUUUAAGAUGCCUUGAUUGUCUACACACCUCCAGGGGAUUCCACUAUGGGAAUAAGGUUUGCAUCACCCUUACUUUUCUUGUGUAACCAGAUUGAAUCAAUAUGUCAUUGACCUGAACUUGCCACAAGUUAAAAUUGAUUCUUCCAUCAAACUUUCAACCUCAAUCCUUGUAGGAUUUGAAAAUUUAUACACAGAUAUUAUUGCUUUGCAAAACAAUCUUUAGCUCUAAUAACACUUGUUAGGGAAUUUUAAUCCCACCCAAGAUCUUGCAAGCAAAAAUAUCGAACAAAUAAUAAGCAAAAAUAGAAAGAGAAUAAAAUCAAUCACACAACAUAAGAAUUUACGUAGAAAACUCCUACACUGAAAAAAACCAUAGCCGCUAAAGACAUUCCACUUUGUGAAACAUUAUUACAAUUACUCCAGUAUUUUUUCUUUACACCCAAAACCCCAAUAACACUCAAUCUUUAAAUAACCUAUUGUUUCUCUCAUACUAAACACUAUCUACUUGCAGAGAAUUGAUUGUUACGUUAUACAAACAAGUGAAUCCAACCUCCCUAGAUGUAGUGAUUAUUCUUUGUAGGAGAAAUAUUCAUUUCCUUAUACUAGUUAUAUUCCUCCUAUAAUAAGUCAAAUCUCAAAGGAAAAUUACCUAUUCCUUAAAUAGGAAUCAUUUUGAAUAAGAAAACUAGUAAAUAAGAAAUGCCUAGAAAAUAUCGUAAUUUAGGACUUAUAAAUCCUCAUUGAAAAAUGAGACAUAUUUCCUAAUAAAAGAGAAUCGUACAUUGAGUUUGGACUAUCUUUAAUAGUAAUUUAAAUCAUAAAUAUUUCUAUAAUACAUAAUUUUAUUUACAUAAACAAAUUAUUUACCCAAUUUUUAAAGUGCAAAUAACCCCACCAUCAAAAAUUUAUCCUCCUUAAAGAUAAAUUUGUAACCGGGGAAACAAAAGUGGUGCUAGUGGCACUCCUUAAUAAUUCUCACGUAAUCCCUUCCCUAAAAUAUGCCACGUUCAAUAUUUUCAAAGCUAACUAUUUCUUGCCACUAGGCCCUUGGCCUAGUGGUUGGGCUGCUGCCCUCGCAAGUGUGAGGGCAGCGGUUCAAGCUCCUACAAAAGCAUUGUGGGGGCUAAACAUUUAUAAAAACUAUUUUCCCUUGUGAAAUACAAGUGGAGCAGGGGCAUCCCUCAUUUGUGAGGGUCAUUUUAUCUGAGCAUGUACUUCAUAGAAUUUAAUGUAAUAAUAUAAGUCUCAGUAAUGUAUAUCUAAUUGUAAAUAUCAGUGUAAUAUAUGUUAUAAUAGCAGUUGUAAAUAUCUGUGUAAUGCAGUAAUUUGGUGUGUAACCAAUAUUUUUUUUUUAAAAAGCUAACUAUUUAUUUUAUAACACCACCAUCAAUUCCAUUAAUACCCUUGUUCACUGAAAAUGAAAAAAUAAGUAAUGAAAGAAUGGGUUGUAUAAUCUCUUUUGAAGCCUUGAAUUUACGUAACAAAAUAGGUGGGGUUUGAUAAAGAAAAAGAGGACAAUUUAAUAAAUUUGAGUAAAAUACUCCACUUUAAUAUACAGAGAACUAGUAUUUUCUAAUUUAUAGAGGAGCAGAGAAAUUUCAGCAAAAUAUAGAACCUCGAUCCAUCAAGAAAUAGAAGUGAUAAAAAUCUAUAUUAUGAGGAAAUUUCUUCUGUAGAUAAACUCUUAUUUUAGAAUGCUUGAAGUAUAAAAUUUUGUGGUUGUUUCAAUUCCAUUACAUGCAUCAAUCAAGUAUCAAAAACAGAAAGAAGCAGAAAUAAUAUAAGACGUGCGGAUUUUCAGAAAGCUAAUAAAGAGAACUUUUAAAAAUGGAUUGUGCAGGUCGCAGGGUUUCAUUAGUUUCUCUAUUUGUCUUGUAAUGUAAUUUUAGAUAUGGUUAAAAUCGAACUAUAACGGGGUUCUAAUAGGAUUAUUGUUGUCUUGAUGGGUGUCAAUUAUGCUACUCCUUAAGUUUUUAAUAAAUAGGUUGGUGUAUUAUGGCCGGCUUGCUGUGUUCGCCUGGCCCUUCUUUUUGCACAUUGAGCUCGAGGAAUCAAGCACAAGUAUGAUUCAAUCAAAAUCAUUAACCCAUCCAACUUCUUGAUCUUGUUUUAUUUAAUUUUCAAUUAAUUUCAUAUAUAUAUAUAUAUAUAUAUACACACACAUAUAGCAAUUCUCAAGUGUAGAUGCUCAAAUGAUAAAAGCUCGUUUAAUCCCUAUAUUAUGAGGUUAGUGCUCAUUUAAUCUUUAUAUUUUUUAAAAUACCUCAAAAGAUUUCUAUAUUUUUAAAAAUACUUCAAAAGAUCUUUAUCGUUAAACUAUUGACACCGUUGUCGUUACUUUUUGUUCAUUUUAACUUGUUUUUAUUAUAUUACUCCUUUACAAUAAUUUUUUUAUAUUAAUAAAAAAAUUAAAUUACCAAUUUAACCCAAACAAAUAAAAUGGAAACAAAAAGAAUUAAUAUCAAUUUUUGUGAAAUACUAUGUUGAGGAGUUAAUAUUUUUUUUUAUCAGUGUCCAAAAAUUAGUAAUUUAAUUUUUUUUUUAUAGAAUGUUAAUUUUUUUGGGCAUAGAUAAGCUUCCACAAAAAUUAAUAUACAUUGUUUUUGUGUUUAUUUCAUUUUUUGGGUUAAAUUGUUAACUUAAUUUUUUUUAUUAAUGUCCAAAAAAAGAAACAUUAUUGUAAGAAGAUAAUAUUAUAAAAGUAAAUCAAAAUUAACAAAAAGUAACCGCAAGGGUCAAAUAACAUUUAUUUAUUUAUCUAUUUAUUAUAAGGAGGAACGACUUGGUGAACGAAAUUAUGCGCCUUCUAGUAUAUAAUUACACAAUUAUUUAGCAGAUCUAGUACACAACCGCACACACCUAAACAGAAUACUUAUUAUGAGUAAUGCUACAUCACAUAAUUAAGGAAUGGGGUCAAUAAGUAAUGAGAAUAGACAAUCCUUAGUAUUUUCUUGAACACCGUAUCCAUCCCCAAAUUGGUACAUGCAUUGCGUCAUCCUCCCCAAAUUCAGCACAAUCCCAGUAAAUUUUUCGGACAAGUAAUUUGGGUUUUCAAAUCGAUCCCUAUUCAUUCCGUUACUGUUUAGGGAAAUGUAAAUUGGAUGGAGCCGCGCAACGUUUAGGGAAAUGACACUAAAACCCACAGAGUUUUAUCUAAAUAUCAAAAUGCGCCCCCCUAAUGCUUCGGAAUUGUAACAUCGAACUUCAUUACUGUUUUAACUUUUGAGCUUUUUUAGAUGACGAUAAGAUUAAGAACCGUAUGUUAAUCAUGGUGAGCAUUUAACUUUUAAACAAGUUGCCGUGUUUUAUAUUAACAAGCGGCACAAUUUGGUUGAUAUUAAUGGGAAUUUGACUUUUGAUUAUUUUCUAUUUUAUCAACCACUGAAAUGACGAUACAUAAAGGGCAAUUAAGUUUUAAUAACAACGACAACGGUAAACUUAAGAGACAAAAUAUUAUAUUAUACUCUAAUUUUUCAGCAUAAAAUGAGAAUGUCCAUUUUGUGAUGGCAUCAUGUACUCGUUUUGCUAAGAUUUCGCGUAGUUACCACUCGAUAUCAUGAGCUGCAAUAAUGGAAAGUGAUUUCGUAGAAUUUGAGUUCUAAGUAAUUCAAAUUUUGGCAUUUGUGUAAGCUGAAAAGUGCUAAUUGUAAUAAGUUUCAUAAUAAAAAGCAAAAAAAAUAAAGCCCAAUUAGGAAUUAUUAGGAUCAAAACAUACAAGCCUCCGAAUACACUCAUUCAGAUUUCCCAAACAUGCACAACCCUUCAUUGACGAUAGUAAAUCCUCCAUCUACGACCAAAUUAUGCCCACUCACACACUUGGACUCAUCACUCCCCAAAUAAAGAGCAGCUUCAGCUACAUCCUCAGGCUUAAGAACAGCCCCACUGAGAUUUGAAUAAAUGCCACUCAUACCAUCAUCGUCAAGCUUCAAAAAACCCUUAGCCAUUGGACUUGAGACCGCAUAAGGUGACACAGAAUUCACCCUAAUGCCAAAUCGUCCAAGCUCCACGGCAGUAUUCUUCAUCAGCCCCACAACGCCAUGCUUUGAACUUGUGUAUGCAUGCGAUGUAACGCCACCAAUGACUCCGCAAACGCUUGCAGUUGAAAUUAUGCUGCCGCGUCCGGCGGGUUUCAUCACCCUAGCAGCAUGUUUCGUCCCCAAAAAAGCGCCAACGAGGUUAACGGAAAGUAUGCGCUCAAAUUCAGCCUGAUCGUUAUCGAGUAUGUUAGGUUUGGCUUCAUCCACAAUUCCCGCGUUAUUGAACAUAAUGUCUAGCUUUCCGUACUGAGAGACGGCCGUGUUAACUGCGUUUUCGAUAUCUUUCUCUUUGGUUACAUCGCAAUGGACAUAGGAGCAGCCGUUGGCUGAUGAUGAUGAA
rnacentral:lncRNA from 1 species